GCAAAACCAAAGAUCACUGGGGACACCAUCCACUGCCUACUCACCAGUGGAGGCAAAGCAACUGCAAUUACACAAGAGAUUAGGAAACCAAACAUACGUGUGAGGCGUAAUAUACAUAAAGCAACAAGUGAAGACUAUUGAAAACUUUGCAAAACCAGAGAUCACUGGAGACACCGUCCACUGCCUACUCACCAUCGGAGGCAAAGCAACUGCAAUUACACAAAAGCUUAGGAAACCAAACAUGCGUGUGAGGUGAAAUAUACAUAAAGCAAAGAAUGAAGACUCUAGAAAGCUUUUGCCGCCCAACCGCCCACUAACUUAAUAGUAAUUGCUGACUACCAAAGUGAAGAGCCACGCGGACAGAGCAUUGCUGACUACCAAAAUGAAGAGCCACGCGGACAGAGCAAGGUUACAAUGCAAGAGAGCCAGCGGACAAAAGCAAAAUACCAGCAGAGCCACUGACACCCAUCAGCAAAAGACCAAAACGCCCCUCAAGCUCACACAAAUAACGGCAUAACCGGCCCAUUUUUUACUGUUCACAAGCGGAUUCUCGCUUUAUAUAUGUAAGACUAGAUGUUUUGCCCUGACGCUAUGCGUCAGGUAGGUAGGAAAGAAUUGUUUAGUUGGUAAGAAUAGCAAGUUGAGAAAGGUGAGGCUGUGGCGGUGGUUUGUACUGGCGUUAGCCAGGUGUUGUUUAUGUGAUUUUGUAGUAUCUGAUUUGUAGUUUGCAUGAGUAGGAUUGCUACUUGUGUUUCAUGCGUUGAUUGUGUCAGGAAAAAAUUGCCAAGUUGUGCUGAUUUUCUUUGUACGUGGCCAGUUUCUUGCUACUAUAUAUAAGGACCUUCGUGUUUUGGGAAUGGUUAUGUGUGAUAUAUUUUUGGUUUGCUAGGUAGUAGUUUGUAUUUGCAAAGUGUGUGUUUUUUUCAGUUGGAUGGAGUCGCAGUGUGUUAGUGUUUGCGGAUUGAAUGAUAGAAUUCGAGGAUGGAUUGCUAAGUUAGUUGUCGUGGAAAAAACUUUAUUUCGGCGACCGCGGAAUUCGACUCGAAUGUUUUUUCGAGUUGUUUUUGCUGAUGCUUCUGUAAGGGCUUCUUAGACUUGUUUUUGUAAGUUUUAUUGUGUUUUUGUUUUGUUGAUAUGGAUAAUAGGUAUCUCUCUUUUUUUCAGGGUGAUACAAUUCAAGGAAUAACAUAUUUAUCUGAUCUGGAUGCUAUGGAUUGUGCAUUGGAGUUGCAUGGGACAUAUUAUAUUGCAAAUGCCACUAUACAGUGUCUACGUAGUUCACGGAUGCAGAUUGGGAUGGUUCCAUAUGAGAUUAUUAUAUCACAUAAUACUGUGAUUAAUCGUGUUUUACCUGAGCAUGCAUUAUCGGUGGAAAAUUUCUAUGAACUGACUCGUUUUUGCGAUUUGGAUUCUUUGAGGGUUAAUCCAAAUGCAAGGAUAAGUAUAACUUUUUUUUUGUUUUUUUGGUUGUGGUGUAUUAGUAAGUUUAGGUAUUAUUGGUGUGAUUGCAGGCUAAUUUGUUAUUUUUAUAUGAUAGCUUUGCUUGGUGUAGCUGUUUAUGCUGGUCCGGCAAUAUUUUACGCCAUCGGAAAUAGACAAGUUCAUCUGCAAGAGUUUAUUAUCUUGAAUGAAGAGUAUGUUAUCAGUUUCUGUAUGGUUAGUUAAUAUAGUUAUAAUUAUAUUUUUUAAUUGUGUUUGUUUAAUUUUAGUGUGUAUAUAAUUUUUGCAGGAGGAUACCAAUAGUGUUUUCAGUAUGGGAUGAUUAUUUUGAGGAUGAUGGCAUGCAUUUAGUUGAACUUAUCAACGAGCGACCAGUUGUUAUGAUUUGUCGUCCACGUAUUAGUCAUCUUCAUGGUAUAUGGGUUUGAUUUUAGUUUUCUAUUAUUUAUUUAUGGUUGUGUCUAGGAUUUUGUUUAUGUAGAUAUUUUUUGUAUUUUUUUUUAUUCGCAGGUCUUUCUAUUGCAACUCAAGCGACUACCAUUAUUAUGUAUAAUCCUAAUUUGCUCGUGGCUCAGCAGCUAAGGCAUUGGUAUGAUACAUUUGUUGGUGAUACUGGCUUUUGAGCAAUGAAAGUGAAGGAUUUUUGGCAUCGCUUGUGGUGAUAUUUCUGUUGGUGUUAUAAUAGCUAGUAUCUAAGAGUGAUUUGUGCAUAGUUGUAGUUUUGGUGUGGUAUGUUACGGUUGUUAUUUCAUUGAUGUUAUAAUAGUUGGUAUGUAAUAGUGGUUUGUGAAUAUUGGACGUUUGAUUUUCCUCUUUUUUUUUUUUCCUUUGGCUGGUUUGGAGUGGUAUCAUUGAAUCUAAGUUUGUUUUUUUAAGAAGUAUUUUUUGGUGAAUUAUUUGAUUGUUUUUAGAAGGAUUUUUUAGAUAUCUUCUUGUUAUAUUUUGCUUAAUAUUUAUGUAGCUGUAAUUGAAUUAUGCUGAUGCGGUAUAAUUGUGUAUAAGAAGAAGAAAUCAAACUUUAAGCAAUGUAUAUGUAAGAUAUGUGCGAAUUUGAGUAGGAACAGGAUAAGUAGUUAUAUCUUACAUAUAUUUCAUUUACAAGAGCAACAAGAGCAAGAUAUAUUCAAAAGUGGCCUUGCUAAACUAACUGGCGUUUAUGUACAUUCCGCGCCUUAGGUAUAAAAGUGUCUAAGCAGGGUCUGCAUUAGCCAUUUGCAAUAUUGCUGAGGUUGAUUAUAGAUAUAAUAUUGAUGGUAGGGCUGAGCAAAAGUGAUAGAAGGUGUGCUGAGUGAGAGAUUUAGAAGGUGCUGAGGUGUUUAUGGCUUUGGGCGUUUGUUGUGGGCUUCUUGAACUGGCUGAAGGGGGUGUUUUGAUGUUGUUUGUUGCUUGAUUGACGUAAUUUGGUCAUUGAUGGUGGUAUCGAUUGAUGGUUCAUGUGUAGGUUCUUGGGAUGUGCUUGGUUCGGUAGAGUCAAUCACAGUUGUGAUCUGAAGGUUACUGUUGUCGGCGGCUAGAUGGGGAAUAGUGUUUGGGGUCGGAGGGAUUGUAAGAUAAGCAACAACAAUGUAUCGUGCAGGCUGAAGUGUUUCUGAUGGUCGAAUGAUAUUUCGUAGUUGGAUGUAGAAUUGGGUAUCUUGGAGGUUGUUAUUGAUUAGCUGGAUGUUGAUUUGUUCAUGUAUCUUUUGCAUGUUUAUGAUUUGCUCGGCUGACAUUUGAAGAAUAGACUCUGCAUAUUUGUCUUCAAUUAAUGCUGGUAGAAUACUUGUACCAUCAAAGAGUUGAACUUCAAAACGGAGCCUGCCAUUACAUCAAAUUGUUAAGCAUAAUAUUAGAAUAGGUACAAAAUUAAGUAGUAAUUGAUAAAGCAUAGAAAUUAAAUGCGAACCUUGGUAAUGGUUUUUGGUAAGUGAGAUGGCAGUAAAAGCAUUUGAAUUCUGUAUCAGUAUCAGCUCCUGUUGGUUUUGAACAAUCAGGUUUUGGACAACUUAGGUAGUAAAAACGUGUGUUUGUCACUGAGAUACGAAUCUGAGCCUUUAUCCAAAAGGGCCUGGUCUGUGAUUUCAUACGAUAUAUGUUAGGUAUUGGUAAUUUUAUCUGCAACUGAUUAAUAGCAGUAUGAUUAAGACUUACAUGUUCAGCUGUCAUAGGAAUUGUCGCUAUUUCUUGUAGUUGUGCAGUGGUUGGUGGAUGGAUAAUUUGAUUUGCUUUUUCAUAUAGUCUUUCUUUGAUUAUUGUUUGUAUGUAACAGCUAUUUUCCUUUAUCCUGCAUAAAAGUUGGGUUUAUGAAUCUGGUUGAUAUGAGGAUUAUAUAGUUUAAAUUAAUAGGAUUACCAGUUUCUCAAAGCUGUGGCUUGGGGGAUUUCUGGAUUGAAUAAUAUGAUAGUGGUUGCUUGUGUUCCCAGAGAAAUUGCUGCAAUUGAAUGUAAAUAAGAAUAUAGAUUGUGAAGGUGUGUGAUAAUUUUAUAUAGUUGUAAAUUUGUAUCAGAAAAUAAUAUGCUUACUGUGAUACGAGUUGACUUUUGGUCUAGCCAGUAAGAUGAUAGGUUGCUGAGGUGCCAUUGCUUUUAAUUGCGAUCCUUCGACAGAUAAGAAUUCUUCCCAUAUCGUAAAAGUCAUUGGUCGUUUUCUGCAUGUAUAGAAGUGUAAAUAUUAUGAAUUAGUAACAUAUGGUAGAGAAUAACUUUUAGUUAGAAUUGGCAAGUACUCUUCAUUAACGACAGCAAAUUCUUGGAUCGGCACAUAUCGUUUUCCUCUUGGCACUAAGCGAGGAGGUAGCGCAUGCAGGACAGCACAGAGGAUAUCUGUACAUCAGAGAUCAAUUGUAUUUAGACUACAUGUUUUGUAAAAGGCAGUGUAAGGCAGUGGAUGAAAAUCAUACUUAUUCUUGUUGAGUAAUCGCCAAUGUAAUUAUGUAGCUGUGUAAAGGGUGUUAAUUCAUAGCAAUCAUCAGAGGGCAAUGCAUCAUGUGAUGAAACAGCCUGAAUAAAUGUUCUUUUCGAGAUUGUUAACUGAUAUGGUGAAGAUGCAAGAUAAAAAGGGAUGCUUAUUUUUGUAACCCAAGCAUUUCCAAUGUAGUAGGUGGAAUAAAGCUGAAGAAUUGGCUCGAUAUCUUGAAUGUCUCUUUCGAAAAUAGUUCCUUGGAUGGUGUUUUUCUGCAUUUAAAAAUUGAAGAGAUGUAAUGAGUGAUUUUGUGUAUAAGUGUGUGUGAUAAUAGGUAGAUGAAUAAAAAUUUAUUUGGUUUGAUAUAUCUCACCAUAGCAUCAGCGAACACUAAUUUUUGAUAUGGCCUUCCAUCUUCUUUGCUAUAACGAAUUGCACUUUUUUCUAUCACAAUAAGUUUAGCAAACCAAUUUGAGUUCGUGUCUGUUAACUUUGGUAUCAGAACGCAUUUUCCCUCCAUGUUGAUACUGAAAAAAGAGGGAGCAAAGUAAAAUUAAUUAAUAAGUAAAGUAAAAGUUUCUAUGUAUUAUAUAUGUGAAGGAUUUAGUUUCAGGAGAGCUUGUUUGAAUGCAUUGCAAAAGAAAGCUAGGAAUGAAAUUACCUGGAUAGAUUGGAGAGCAAAGAUUCAGAAGCACAAGAAGAGGUUUGCGAAUCUGUGCAAGCUAAUGAGAUGUGUCUGUUGAGAUGGAAUUGAUUUAUAUAUAAUGAGUAAGGAUAGUGGAAUGAGUGAUAUGUGAUAAUGAGCAUUUGGUCUGGCGCAUUGUUAAUGGGAGACAGUAUCUAAUUGCAUGUGGUUAGAAGCUGCCAGAGAAAGCAUGUAAUGAUUAAAAUGGUGCAUGGCAGAUAGAGAUUACGUGUUACACCUACCAAUGAGUUUUACAUGUGUCAUGCAAUGAAAUUAGAAACGAUUGCUGCAUAUUGUGAAGGACAUCUGGAUAUGGCUUUCAUGAUACAGGUAGCAAUAUAGAAGGUACAGGUGUUUAAGUCGGGUGUUGUUGAAGGCUCUAAGCUGGUAAACUCAUUGGAGGUUAGCAAAAUAAAAUUCCUUUGGAUCUGUUAUAAUCUCUUUAUUUCUUAGAUGUAUUUCAAAGCUAGCAAUAAUUUCUGGUCUCUAAAUAAUCAUGACAGCUUGCAUUUGAAUGAGCACUUCUAACCUGUGGGAAUGUCAUACAUUUUAAGGCAUUGGCUGGUGGGACUUUGUGGCUGGAUUUAGUCGCAAGCAAGAUUGCAGCAGAGUAGUGGAUUACUGUUGGAUCUGCUAUAGGAAACAUUACUUGCAGGUCUUUCUUUUAUUCUCCAUUUUGUUUUGAGCAAGUCGUUGGAUGAUAGAUUCCUUUUCUCUCCUUUUUCAUUUUGUUUAGACUUGUAUCCUCAAUGUUGUUUGUUCUUGCAGCAAUUCGGUGAAUAUCUACAUGGGAAUUGGUAUUCCGUGGCUCAUUGAUACAAUAUAUGACUUCAUCGCAUACAAUGAAUUGUUGCGCAUACACAAUGCUGAAGGUACCUGGGGAGAGGAAAUGAAGAGAGAGGCAGCAGCUAGGAGCUGGGAGAUAGUAUCUGGGAGUGGGAGGUCUAAUUCUGAGGGGGGGUUUUGACUUUAUAUUUUUUAUUCUAAUCAAAAUUGGCGAACAGAAUUUAUAAGAAAAUAGAGAAGGUGCUUUUUUAUUUUCCUUUCGACUCUAUUUUUUUCCUCCCCUAAGUAGUUUAUCCAUAUUCAUUUCCUAGUAUAGGGUAUAUAGGGUAGUGAAUGAGAGUUUCUUACCAUGUUCUUAAUUUCCUUAGACUCGUAUCUUCUGUGGUGCGUUGCUAGAGGUGUAAAGGGUGUCAGCUGGCUAUUUAUGCGAGAGAAUCAUUUGUUUUCAAUUUGGACAUCGUUUGGUUACUGCAACUGUUGCUUUAUGUAAUAGCAGCUUUCUUUAACCUUUUUUUUUUUUGAAUUUGUUGUGAUUUGUAAAAGAAUGUCAAGCACCACCUUUGCCAUUGUAGAUCCAGGACUUGCCAUUGAAUCCAAGAUUUUCGUUCCAAUGCUCUAAUUGGUCUUUUGACUUAAAUGAGACUCAGAAAAAACAUGUUAAUUGCAUAUUCCAGUUGAAUCUGGAAUUUUGACAAAGAUGUGUAACUUAUAUUUAAUCAUAAACUUUUUGUUGUAAUCAUGAUUUCUUAAGAAGGAUUUCAUGAUUUUUCGUCAAUAAAAAAAAGCGAUAAGGUGUCACUUGAUUAUAAUAAUGACUGAUGCAGUAGUUCAAAACCUUUUAUGCAGGAAAGUCUUUAGAACCAGAAAGCUCUAAGCAAGGCAAGUAGUUAAGGAGAAAUGAAAGAUGUACGGCUAAUAUUUUCCUAAUAAAGAUGAAAACAUUAUACAGGGAGAACUGGACCGCAAAUACUUGAUUCAUAAGCUGGAGAAUAAACUUACGAAUUUCUAAAAUGAAAACCCUUAUACUUAGUGAAAAUGGCACUUGACAACAAAAGGAUAAAGUGCGACACCAAAACCAAAUGCUCUGUAGAAACAGAAUCAGCCACAAAAAUCAUAUAGCUAUAAACAUAACCUUCCUAUGGCAGUAUAUGUCUAAUGAAUCUUCAAUAUGGUUCAGCUUCAAACAGCAGCAUUUGUACAAGCUGUCGCUGCAGCAGCUAAUGCUGCCCUGCUUCGACUAUUCCAGAUAUGUCGUGGUACGGUAUUAUUUGGACUUCAUAACUUGAUGAAAGCAAAACAAGAUCAGCAGGAAAGAAUUCAUCCUUCUUCACUUUCAUUACAUCUCCAAUUUUCAAAUCGAUGCACUUGAUGUAUUGGAAACUUCUAUGAUUGCUGUAUACUUUAACUAACCUGUUGUUUAUUUCAAUAUCCUGGUAUUAUUCCCAAAUCUUUAUUAUAUACUGGGUGAAAAAGAAAACACGAAAUACAGAUUAAACAAAUCAAAACCAAUUGCAGAUCAGCAAUCUUUAAGCAAUUUAACAACAGAAGAAGGCAGCAAUGGAAAGUUCAAGACUUGCAAAAGGACGAGACAAAUGUGGACAUAAAAACUUUGGAAGUGAUAAAAUUGGGCAAAGAACAUGAGAAAGAAGUGUAUAGGAUGACGAAGUAGGAGCUUUUCUUCCUCCUGAAAGGAAAAUGAGAAUAAGGGAAAGAGGAAAACGAAAAGGGAAGCCAAAGUUUUCUGUGCAUCAUCGUUUUAGAAUUAUUCUAAAAUGUUGUAUCUGGAGAAGCAUUAGCAGAACAGUGCAGUAAUUGAUUACCUACAACAUGUACCUUCUGUUUUUUGAAACAUCAAUGCCACAUUUCGGAACAAAAAUCUUGACUGAUUUGUCAGAGUAACACCUAUGAACUCAGGUAGACCAGCUACAAGAUCAAUGAUGCAUGAUAGUUAGGCUUAUUAAAUUCCCCUUGCAUUAAAAUUCUAGAAAUUAAUUGCAAAAUAUGGUCCAAAACCAUAUAAAAACUACUGGAAAAUUUACUGCAAUUUGACAGAAAAUACUGGGAUUAUUGAUAAGCUACAAUACUUCAAUGUACUCAGAAGGGGCAUUUGAGCUGAGCUCCUGGACACAAAUCCGAUGGUUAUUGAUAAUCUAAGAUCAGAAAUGUCACUUACUUCUGAAUCUCCUCCAUCUUUAUCUUCAGCUUUUCACGCUCAGCUUCAGUAUUAAUGCUCCCUCGAAGUUCCAGGUAGACAGAUACCACUUCGUUUACAACAGAUACUGCACAUCCAGCUGGAGAGACGUCAUUCUCACCUAAAACCUGCACAUUUUGAUCUUUUUAAGGUCACAAGGAUAAGAGAUUGGAAAAGGAUUAAAAAUGCCACAAAAGUAGGGCAAAAGAAGAGGAUCAUUGCAAAAAACUAAUGUUGAAAAGCCUAGCCCUCCAAUUAUAGAAUACUCUAAAGAUUCUUGCCUGGAUAUAUUACUGAUUCUACUGAAACUUUGCUUUUUUCUUUUGACAGCAGUCAUCUUCAGCAACUGUGAGCUUGUUAUGCCAAAUUCAGAAUAUAACUCUAAUAGAGUGAUCAAAUUUUCACUUUUCAGUAGUGAAUAUGCUAUCUUGCAGAAAUAUUGAAGUUUCCUGAUGAAAAUAGACAAAUGGCAACAGAUAAAAGUACGAAUUAGAUUCCAAGAAAGUCAGUUUCUUGGAAGGAAUAGAGAAGCAAAUGGUAAUUCUUGCAGUGUCUGUAAUCAUCAUAGAGAAGGAAUUGUUCUGCAAAAAAUAAUUGCAUUUGAAAUGUUAAAUUUUAGGACAAUAUCAAAAUGCUAUAAAUCAAGUAGGAAAUGAAGAAGUGAUAAAUCCUACACCUUGAUACAGAUUUUUUCAGCUCAUGAAACAUGGAACGGGGAAAAAGGCAAUCCAUGGCAAAUUGUAUUAUAAUUAACAGGACCUGAAGCUAGUAUGGAUAACUUAUUGUUGAUCGAGGAUGACAAAUGUAUUGCACUUGCAGAGGAGUAUGUGUACCUUGCUAAUUUUGCUUACUUAGGAGGGAUAGGCUUGGCAGUAUUGACACUGAUUUUGCCUUUACUUCUAGGAUCAACAACAAUUACAACUUUUUCUUCAUCUUCUAUUCCAGCCAGUUGAUGAAACCUGACUUUGUUCUUGACCAGUCCUUUCUCUGUUAAGAAGUAGAAGAAAGCUCAUGUUUCUUGAUUGUAGACCUUGAGCUGAACAUUUUGUUUUUCCUUCUUCUUUCUUGGAAUGUACACUUUUUGCUGCACUCGUGCCAUCAAACAUAUUAACUAAUAAUGAUAUGAUCAGGCUAUUGGUUGCCGAUGGAUGAUGCUUCAUGAAAAUAGCAGACUUGUUCAUUUGUGAAACAAAUUUGGCAUUACCUACUUUCACAAAGAAAGCAGUAAGGAAGUAUAAACAAAAUAAAUUUGAAAUGGAAAUUAGGAUAAAGAGUUAGAUAACAUACCUUAAUCUGUAUCAAUAUGAAUUGCUAGCAUAUAUUCAUUAAUCAUUCAUGAUUGCAGAUAAGACCUCUUUGUAGACUAUAUUUUUUGUAAGAUUUGUUACUUUGGAAAACAGAUUUGGAGGUCGUAUUAAUACUUUAACAUUACUUGAUGUCCUGCCACGUGAUAAUGCAACAUAUAAUUGGCCAUGGGAGAAAACAGGCUCUUUUAGAUAUAGACCGACAUAAUCCAAUGUUUGUCCUUGUGCUUUAUUAAUCGUCAUUGCAAAACAUAAUCUCAGAGGAAAUUGUGUUCUUUUGAAAGGAACUGAGCAGAAAUCAUCAUCAGAAGUUUGCAAAGGAAUUCGAGGAAUAAAGACAUGUUUACCUUUAAGAGAACCGCAUGCAAUCUCUGCAUGUAUUACAUUGUUUCCAAAUUCUUUGCAUAUCAAUCGGGUGCCAUUAGAUAGGCCUUCAGUAGGGUUGAUGUUUCGAAUCAACAUAACAGGACAAUUAAUCUUUAAUGUUAGCCUAUGAAGAGGUAAACCUUUGGGCAUUAGUGAAUUCAAAAAAUCUUGUGUCUCUGAUUGAUGAGAUGAAUCAAGGACUUCAUCAUAGCUUAAAUAUACCUGUUCUGUACCUGGAAAUUUAGCAAUGACUUUGUUAUUAAUUUCAAAUACAAAAUCAUUUCUCGUCAUUAAAAUUGCAUGGUUAACAAUAGAAUCCGGGCAAUGAGCAAAAGCAUUUAAAUCUGGAAAUACCGCGGUGAUCAAGGCAUCAACUGAUGAAUCAUCAUUGAGAAAUACCAAAUUCAUUCGUUCAGGUACACAGACUUCGUCAUUCUGGUUUGUUGCUUCGAUACCAUUACCAAUUCGAAGAAGGUAUUUAGAGAAAUCCGGAUCUAGCUGAGCUCGCAUGUUCUGGGAUAGUUUCAAUUUUAUCAGGUACGGCCAAAUAGGAGAUGUUAUUAAGCUAGCAUUGACGAUUUCUUCUUUACACCCUUUGGUCACCACUGGUAGUGUUUGUCGAAAGUCUCCACCAAAAACAAUGAUCUUGCCACCAAAUAUAGCAUCUUUAUUCAUGAUAUCUUUUAAUGAAUCAUCAAAUUUUUCUAUCGAACUGCGUUUUGCCAUGCUUGCUUCAUCCCAAAUAAUUACUUUUGCAUCUCUUAUUAAUUUAGCAAUAGCACUUUGCUUCCCAAUAUUGCAAGUUGCUGUAUCAUUAUCUUGUAAUGGAAUUUUGAACCUUGAAUGUGCUGUACGCCCACCAGGUAAAAUUGAAGCUGCAAUUCCAGAUGUUGCAGUUGCUAAUGCUAUGCCUCCUUUCGAUCGUAUUGCUGCAAGUAGAGCCCUGUAUAAAAAAGUUUUUCCAGUUCCACCUGGCCCAUCUAAAAAGAAUGCACAUGAGAUGUUAUUAUCAAUAGCAUGCAUAAUCUUCUCAAAUGCUAAUUUCUGGUCUGAGUUUAAUUGCUCCAAUGCACCAAGAUCUUCAUUAGAUACAACUAUGCUUUUUUCAACAUCAACUUCCUUACUGUUUAGGUCCUGCGACAAUUGUUCAAGCUGAAUGUCAGUUAAAUUGUAUUCAGCAAUGUUUUUUCCCAUAGACCGAAGACUUGAAUCAAUCAGUUGAAGCACUUGUAUUUGCACAGAAUGUGGUCGGACUGAUGUAUUAUGUCGAAUAUCUUCAGAUAAGAAAUCUUCAUAUUUCAACCACAACUCUCGUGGGUUUUUAGGAGUACAAUAAGCCAGUAUAGAUGCAAAGAGUUGUCUAAGAGAACUUGGCAUUUGGUAUGCAGAGGCCUCCUGUAAGCAAAGUUCAGCAGCAUUGUCGGAAUGUAACAGUCCAAGUAAAUUUGCAGCUUCUUUAUAUGUUUGGCAUGCAUAUCCAUUGACAACUUUUAAAUGUUGGAAAGAAGUAGGUUUUCUAACAUGCAUUAACAACAUUCUUAAAUAAUAACGCUCCCCCUCAGUAGGAUGAGCAGUUAAAAUACGACCUAUAACUUCUUUUUUUUUUCGUCUAGUCCAAUAUUUUGAUUGUGCAUUCCAAGUAAAAUGCUCAGGAAACUCUAUAUAUAGACAAUUCAAAUGCUUGGCAUGUUCAUCAUAACAAUUCAUGCUAAAAAACUCUGUAAGCAUUGUUUGUGAGGAACGUGGGUUAUUGAUUAUAUUUUGCAAUGAUUGGUUUUCAUCAAAUGUAACUGAUUGUUUAUUCUCCAAAUGAAGUUGCAAAGGAAUUACCGAUGGAUGUAUUUCAUUUAAGUCAAAUGCAUAGAUUCUCCCAUAGUUAUUAAACCCGGCCCGGCCCGGCGGUCGAACCGUUCGAACCGGUGACCCGGUCAUCAAACCGGGCCGGGUUACUAGUUAGAUCGGAAUUGCAAAGAACCCGUCUAGACUCGUUCGACUCGGACGGUUGAACCAUGGAACCGCUAGAACCGGCGGUUAUUGAUAAAUCCGGUGGGUUUUGGCAAUUUUUUUGAAGUUACCAUUUUACCCAAUUCUUUUAUUUUGACCAUUCACAGUACAUGGGCAUUAUCAUCUUUUCGCUACAUUUUUAGCCAAUUAGAAGAGAAAAUCAGAAAAAUUGAAGAGGGAUUCGGGCAUUUGGGCAUUCGGCCGUCAUUGGGGAUUUAGGCAUUUAGGGAUUCUUUUCUUCUUUGUUUCUCUUGAGAAGUGAGAACGAAUUGAGAUUUGAGAACUUCUUGAGCAUUUAAGGAUUCGGCAAGCAAUGUUCCAAUUUUUCGGCUUUCAAUUUUUCAGGGCUACGGCUUUCAAUUUUUCUUUCCUUUGCUUUGCUAAUUGCUCUAGCCUCUGAGAGUGAAGUUCGAACUUGCCGCAGCCGCUGCUAGAAUUCUUCUAGGAAGCGCCGCUGCCACCGAAGCUGCCAUUGAAGGGUGAAGCUUUGUUGCCGGUUGCAACUGGACACACACCACGGCACCUUGGAAGUUCGAAGUUGCCGCAGCCGCUGCCGCCUGCCAGAAUUCUUCCAGGAAGCGCCACUGCGACCGAAGCUGCCAUUGAAGGGUGAAGCUUUGUUGCCGGUUGCAGCUGGACACACACCACGGCACCUUGGAAGUUCGAAGUUGCCGCAGCCGCUGCCGCCUGUCAGAAUUCUUCUAGGAAGCUGCCGCUGCCACCGAAGCUGCCAUUGAAGGCUGAAGCUUUGUUGCCGGUUGCAGCUGGACACAGACGGACAGACCACAGCACCAGUGAAGCCUUGAAGGUAAGUAAAACGGAAAUUUAACUGAUGACAUGCUUCAAGAAAGUGGAAAUUUAACCUUUGACAUUUUAAUUACGUCUGUUGCCGAAGGCCACGAACCCAUUCUGUUAAAAAAAAGAGGUUGAGCCAUAUUUCACCUUGCAAAUACCUCAAGCCCAAGUUUAACAGCUAAUUCGAGAGUAUUUGAAGCUAAGUAUUCAAGAAUAUCCCUAAUCCAUAAAAAAAAAAUUAAAUCUCAGCUAUUCCUCAAUAUUGGCUCAGCUGAAUUGCAAAAUGUACCACCAAAAAAAAAUGACAGAUAACUGAUGCGACAUAGAUUCUUGCAUUAGCAUGUGACUAUAUUUUAUUUGAGUACAUACAUCGAAUUUCUGCUCUAAAUUAAACCAUGCCAAAUAAUCUGAAUUGAGUUUUGUUUCAACGUUGAUUUAGAUCAAUUGCAUGUGAAUUGGUCUUGCCAAAAAUAAUUAGGAUACGUGAACAUUAGCUAUUCGAUAGAUUAUGUUUAAUAUUAUCCAACAAAAAAUUUAAAAAGAAAGGCAUUGGGAAAGGUUGUGUAACUUGUGUUACAAAAUAAAAUCUAUAUAAGUUUUUUUUAAUUAUUAGUCUUGCACAAUUAAAUUAGUCGAGACACCUUGAAUUACCAAAAAAUUUUAUGAUAUUAAUGGCUAAUAUGCAGCUCGGGGCAAAUAUUUUUUGAUUGCAUAUACAAAGGACAUUCACUUCUUAUAAUAUUUGUAGUAAUAACUCAUAGUACCUUCUUUUCUCUUUUCCUUUUUCAUCUUCUUCUAUAUGUAGUAAGGGAAUGCCAUAUAUAAUUUAGUAGUUUUUCUUUCCAAAAAAAAAAAGUGAUAUGGAGAAAUCAAUAUACAAGAUACAAUAAACAAAGGUUGUUUAAUUCUUCUUGUGAUUCCUCCCAUAGCUUGAAUCUUGAUACCAUAUUUCAUUUCAUUCCCCAAACAUCAAAAUCAUGAAUAGUGAUAUGGAUCCAUCUCAAUCGAACUUUCAAGGGAUAAUGACAGUAAGGCAUUUAGCUUUCCAUUAUGUUUGCAUUUAAGUUUCACUUUUUCACUUUUUCACAGUAAGGCAUUAUAUAAAUGUCAUUUUCCUAGCUAUAAAUGUUAUUUUUUUAAAUAAAAGAUAUGUUUUAUUACUUUUCAGAUAGCUUGUAAUGGACUCUAUUGGAGAAACACCGUCUCAAACACCAAGUACAGAACCAACACCUAGUACAUCAAAUUCUCAAAAUCAACCUCUAACAAGGGGAAAGACAGACCCUGCAUGGUCUCAUUGUAGAGAAGAUUCUGUGUCCAACAAAAAAGUUAAGUGCUUGGUAUGUAUUCAUUGUGGAAAAAGAAUUCGAGGAGGUGGUAUCAAUCGAUUCAAACAGCACCUUGCAGGCUUAAAAGGGGAGACAACACCUUGUCUGAAGGUUGAUGAACAGAUUAGAUUUGAAAUGCUAGAAAACUUGAAAGCUGUGGAAAGCAAGAAAAGAAGCUUGAAAGAACGCUCAAGGGGAAGUGAUUUAUAUGGUCAAGAUCUAAGACAACAUGAAGAGGAGGUAUACAUGCAAGAUGUAGAAGAUUUUCAAGAGAUUCAACCACCUCCCACUAGUGAAGUUUCAAAAGGAAAAAAAGUUCUUCAACAACACAAAAAAGGAAAAACAAUAGGGACUUUUUUUAUGCCAAGAGCUACUCCAGGAGGUCAACCAUCCAUCAAAAGUGUGAUGCAAAGCAAAGAAACUAAAGAGAAGGUUGACUUGGCAGUUGCGAAGUGGAUGAUUGAUGCUUCCAUUCCCUUCAAUGCAGCAAACUCUGCAUAUUAUCAAACAAUGUUUGAUGCUGCUUGUUCUUUUGGGGCUGGUUACAAAGCGCCUAAUUUCUAUGACUUGCGUGGCUAUUUAUUGACAAAAAAUGUUGAGCAAGUUAAGAAUUUUGUUAAUAGCUUUCGUACAAGUUGGAAAGAAACUGGAUGUACUAUUAUGGCUGAUGGAUGGACUGACCAACAAAGGAGAACUCUCAUCAACUUUCUAGCUUAUUGUCCUAGAGGAACUAUUUUUCUGAAAUCAGUUGAUGCCUCGGAUGCUUCUAAGACUGCAGAGAUGUUGUAUAAGUUGUUUAGAGAAGUGGUUUUAUUUGUUGGGGUGGAAAAUGUGGUACACUUCGUCACUGACAAUGCUGCCAAUUAUGUUGCUGCAGGAAGAUUAUUAGAAAGGGAAUUUCCAACACUUUAUUGGUCUCCAUGUGCUGCUCAUUGUCUAAAUUUGAUGCUACAUGAUAUGGGCAAGUUAGAUGAGGUUAGUAAAGUGGUUGGACAUGCUUCAAAAAUAACAAAAUACAUUUAUAAUCAUUGUUAUCCAUUGCAUUUGAUGAGAAAACACACUGGUGGAAAAGAAAUUAUUCGGCCUGCUCCUACACGUUUUGCUACUAAUUUCAUUGCAUUGCAAAGUAUUUUAGUGCAAAAAGAUGCUUUAAGAGCUAUGGUGACUUCAAAAGAAUGGACUCUUUCAGCAUAUGCUAAGGAGAGUAAAGCAAAAAAAUUUGUGGAUCUUGUGCUAGAUUCUAUAUUCUGGAAAGAAUGUGCUAUAAUAGUUCAAUUAACUGAGCCUCUUGUUCGAGUUCUAAGAAUUGUUGAUAGUGAUGAAAGGCCUGCUAUGGAAUACUUGUGUGCUGCCAUGCAUAGAGCCAGAGAAGAGCUUUUGAGAAGAUUCACAAGAAAAAAAAAAACAGUUGAUCCUUAUUUAAGAAUAAUUGAUUCAAGAUGGGAUAGUCAGCUUCACAAAAAUCUUCAUGCUGCAGGUUAUUGGCUCAAUCCUGCUUAUCAAUAUAAUUCUCUUGAUUUGGAAAAGCACAGGCAUGCAACAUCAGGACUUUUGGAUGUGAUUGAGAGAUAUUCUUAUGCAAAUCCUGAUUUGAUGAGUAAUUUGACCGGAGAGAUGAGAUUAUUUCGUAAAGCUGAAGGUGAUUUUGGUAGAGUCUCUGCUAUACGAGAUCGUGAUGUCAUGCUUCCAGGUACCCAAAAAUUAACUUCAUUUUUAUUGAUGAUUUGAUUUUAAUUGUAAAAUAUUAUAUUCUGACUUUUUUCCUUUAUUUAUUGCAAUAGAUGAAUGGUGGACAUGUUAUGGUAGCACUGCACCUAAUUUGCAAAAACUAGCUAUACGUGUUCUAAGCCAAACUUGCAGUGCUUCUGGCUGUGAAAGGAAUUGGAGUUUAUUUGAGCAUAUCCACUCAAAGAAGAGAAAUAGAUUGGAGCAUCAAAGACUAAAUGAUUUGGUUUAUGUACACUACAAUUUAAGACUACAACAAAGGUAAACUACAUUUUGCAAUCUGAUUUUUAUUUUAAUAUGACGACAUUUGUUAUUUAACUAGUUUUAAUGUUUUGUAUUAUUAGAAAUGCAAGGGGUAGAAAUUAUGAUCCUAUUGAUUUUGAGGACUUCAGCGCCAAUGAAACUUGGAUUUUGGAUGAUGAACCUUCACAAUUAACUCCAGUUGAAUUAGAAAGCUUUAGGAAUGAAAUAGCUACAUUUGCUAUCAGCCGACAAAGUGGUGAGUUAUUCUAUUUGAGCCAUAUGCUUGCUUAUUCUUUGUUAGUUUGUUUUUCGUUUUUGGCUAAAUAUUAUCUAAGUUUAGAGAAUAAUUCAUUGAUUUUUGUACUUAUGUAGAUGAAACUCUAAAUUUGGAUGAUUUGGACACUGGAGAUGAAGAUGAGACCAAUAAUGAAGAGAAUGUUGAAAGAAAUGAUCUUAAUGUGGGCUGUGAUGUAAAUGAAUUUGGUGGUACUGAAUUUGGCAGAAGUUGGGAACCAUGGGCAUGAAUAAUAGAUGGAGUGAACUACUCAAGUGAUAAUUGUGGUGUUGUUUAUGUUCAUGACUUUAUGUUUGGUUGUAUUGAAUUGGUCGUUUAUGACUUAUGUUUCAUGGUUUGAUACUUAUAUUUAUCAUUUAUAUUUGUGUGUAAUUUACUGAUUUUAGUUUGAAUUCAUGAAUUGUUGAUCACAUAUGGUUAUGGAUUAUGUGUGUGAAAUGAAUUAUGAACUAUGAACUAUGAACAGGUUAUAACUUGUUGGGAUUUAAGAAUUUCUGUAAUUAUAUUAUAAUUUACAUGUUUAUUUAAUUAUAUUAUAUAUUUUUUUAUUAUAUAUUGUGACCCAACGGUUCAACCAGUGAUCCACCGGUUGAACCACUGACCCGUCAACCCGGUCCUCUUGCCGGGUUGAUGUCCGGGUUGGUUUUAAUAACUAUGGAUUCUCCACAUUGCUUCAGGAGGAGAGACCCAUCUUGCACAAACAAAAUUUUUUAUUUCGUCAACAAUUUCAAUAGGCCCAGUAUUACUCACCUGAUAUAAAAUUUUAUCAUGGCCUUUAUAGAUAUAUUUAUAUAUAUAUUUGACAGCCUGAAUUGUUGAACAAAUUUCUACAUUGAUAUGGCAAUUAAAUUUAGAGAGUAAAUAGGGAUUGUAUGGUAUUACCCAUCGAUUAUCAAGAGGAUGGCCACGAACAAUUAUUGAUUGCUGAAAAUCUCGUCGUCGAUAGAGAGGGUAGGAGUUGUGGCUGUGCCGUGUGAUUUCUGUAAACUCCUUAGGAUAGUUAUCCUUGCAUCCAAGAUGUUGUUUCAUGCAUGGGCAUUUUGGAUUCAUAGCACCACAAGGACCGUGCAUCAUGUGCUUAACAACGAGUUCAUGAAGAUAAGGAUGGCGGCUAGCAUCUGGCAGCUCAGCACAUACUACACGAUCAUAUGAUUCAGGAGAGUACAUCUUCCAUCCUUGUUUCAGAAUUAUUAAGAAAUGAGCGUGGGGCAAACCUCUUUUCUGGAAUUCGAUUACAUAUGUGUAAGCUGCUAUUUUUCCAAAUAUAUUCUUCUUCAGAAGUUCAUCUUUCAAGACUUCAAGUUUUGCACGGAAGACUCGAGAAAUUAGAUCUGGCCUGUUCUCAACUUUAUCAGUUGGCAGAAGCAAUUUUUUAAUCUCAGGCCAAUUCUUGUUACAAGUCAUUGUCAGAAAGAUGUCUGGUUUCCCAUAUCUUUGAACCAAAGACAUAGCAUCCAUAUAUCGGCGUCGCAUAUCUCGAGGCCCACCAAUGAAUGAAGCUGGAAGGAAAAUACGUUUACCAAUACCUGAUGAUGAUGAUUCACCAUUGGAAAUGCUAUCGACUAUGCCUUGAUAAAUCUCAGUUCGAAGUUGAGCCUGUUUGUUCCUCCCUCUAUGGAAAUCUAAUCUAAUUGACUCAAUCUUAACAUACAUAUCGACCACGUAUUGUUGCAGUAAUCUGCCUAUAUGCAAUAACAUUGACUGAUCAGCAUCUCGAAUUUGCAGUUUGUAACAAUAGUACUCACGACAUGAAACCGUGUUCCGUUUUCUUUUUUUUUGGUUAAUAGCUGAAACAAACAAAUAAUGAUAUUUAUGUUAUUUAUCGAUAAAGAAAGAUAAUAGACGAUGCUAUAUGGAGAUGAUUAUUGGUAAUACCUCUAUUUUCCGCAUCAAUGAUAUCAUUUGCCGUUGUUGCUGUAGCUGUAGCUAUAACAGUUUGUCCCUCACAAGUAACUGGUCUAAUAUUGCCUCUAUCCGGACGGCGCAUUCUCUCAAUCCCUGGAUGCCAACCUGGUUCUCCAUUUGCAAAGAUAAGAGGAUAUUGCAAUGAAUCAUGACAAGCAAAGUAAUGCUUAACAAUUUGCGUUUGACCAUUCUUUCCAUAAAUUUGUAUAUGUUUAGAGUUAAGAUGUUCAAAAUCUGAACUAUCAGUCCAAACAGCUCCUACUUGUGACACAGUAGGUUUAUUGAAAACUCGUUGAUCUAUAGCAGGCGUAGUUUCAAGCACAAUCUUAUAAUCAUCCAUGUCUGGCAAAUCUUGUAAUCCUCGAAAGAAUGCAGAGUAAGGAUUGAUCUUUAAAAUUUCCUCAAGCUUUGUCACCAGUGUUUCUUGAAAUCUAGCUGAAAUUGAAAGCCGCUGCGUUGUUUCAUGCUCAGUGUCAAAAAAAUAAAGCUGCAAGUUUCGUGGCUUCUCACCAUCCUCUGGAAUAAGCGCAUUAAUAUAAUGAUACAUUUGUCCUUGGAUUCGAAAUGUAUAAAUUCCAUUAUAAUUUGCAGCCAAAGAUUUGUCAGAAUGAAUACCAAUCGAGGUAAAUGCAAACAUAUUAUUAUAGCUUCUAACGCAUCUGCGAAACUCGACAGCAUGAUCAGAAUCUUCAAUAUAUAAUAACAUAAGCUCUCGCGGCAUCUCAGUAGAUAAUAGCUGUAUCUCACCAGAGGAACAGCAAAAACCAGGCGGUUCGUGAUGAAAUCGUUUUGCAUGACAGUACGGACAAUUUGGAACAUCAGGCAAUACUGUGGGCUCAAUAGCUAUCGUGGCUAACGGAUCAGUAACAGAGCGUCUUACAGAUCGACGUUUUCUACGUAAUGGUGAUUGACCAAUACCUAUAUUAGUUGAUGAAACCUCGUUAGCACUAUCAACAAUAGAGCUAGAUACAUUUUGUUCAUUUUCCUGCAAUACAACGACAGCAUAGUUAAAGAUUGGGAGUUUAACACGCUUAAAUAAGUCAAUCUGAUCUGUAAUAGAUAAAAGCUAACAUCUCAUACCAUUGGAAAUUGCUCUGCAUUAUUCUGUGUAGAUGGCAGCACUGGGUCUGAGCCUAAUGAAGAUUCUGCAGCACUCAUAUUUGGCUGAUUAAUAGUAUUUGGUUCACGUAUAUUAAAAGCUGUGACAGCCAGCGUACACACUCCUGAUGGCACAUCAUUUUUUCUCCUUUGGCGAGCAGCAGCACGUUGGUCGCGUCUCUUUCGAUUUUUCUCAGCAUUAGCCUCUUCUAAACUUUUAUAUAUUCUAUUCCGACCCAUUGUCCAAACAUUAAUCUACAGAAACCAUCAGAAAAUCAGCUAAGUGAGACAAUAAAGAUUUUACCUUGCAAAACCACAAAUCAUUGAGGACACCGUCUACUGCCUACUCACCAGUGGAGGCAAAGCAAUCGCAAUUACACAAGAGAUUGGGAAACCAAUUUCACCUUGCAAAACCACAGAUCACUGGGGAGCCAAAGCAACUGUAAUUACACAAGAGAUUGGGAAACCAAACAUACACGUGAGAUGAAAUCUUACAUAUAUAAAGCGUCAAUAGGAAACUUUAGAAAACUUUCCACGGCAUUUCUUAAGCUGCUAAACAAAACUAAGAAGAAGAACAGAACCUAAGAAGAAGAAAAAAAGCUAGGAGAAAAGAAAGGAUAUAGCUGACCGACCAACCGCCCACUAACUAAUAGUAAUUGCUGACUAUCAAAAUGGAGAGCCACAUGGACAAAGCAAAGCUACAAUUGAGGAGAGUCAGCAGACAAAAGCAAAAUGCCCAGCAAAGCUACAAUGCAAGAGAGCCAACAGACAAAAGCAAAAUGCACUGCCACCCAUCAGCAAAAGACCAAACCAACCGCCCACUAACUAAUAGUAAUUGCUGACUAUCAAAAUGGAGAGCCACGCGGACAAAGCAAAGCUACAAUUGAGGAGAGUCAGCAGACAAAAGCAAAAUGCCCAGCAAAGCUACAAUGCAAGAGAGCCAGCGGAUAAAAGCAUUGCCACUAAAUGGGAAAAGACCAAAGAACCCCUCAAAGUCACAAAAAUAAGGCGUAAUAUACAUAAAGCAACAAGUGAAGACUAUUGAAAACUUUGCAAAACCAGAGAUCACUGGAGACACCGUCCACUGCCUACUCACCAUCGGAGGCAAAGCAACUGCAAUUACACAAAAGCUUAGGAAACCAAACAUGCGUGUGAGGUGAAAUAUACAUAAAGCAAAGAAUGAAGACUCUAGAAAGCUUUUGCCGCCCAACCGCCCACUAACUUAAUAGUAAUUGCUGACUACCAAAAUGAAGAGCCACGCGGACAGAGCAUUGCUGACUACCAAAAUGAAGAGCCACGCGGACAGAGCAAGGUUACAAUGCAAGAGAGCCAGCGGACAAAAGCAAAAUACCAGCAGAGCCACUGCCACCCAUCAGCAAAAGACCAAAACGCCCCUCAAGCUCACACAAAUAACGGCAUAACCGGCCCAUUUUUUACUGUUCACAAGCGGAUUCUCGCUUUAUAUAUGUAAGAUAAGAUAUGAUACAGGUCACUUACUUAAAUAGGAGAAAAUCUUUGAGAAUCUGAUCGCAUCGUACAGCAAGGCCUCUGAUCCACCCGCGUGCGUCAACCACAAGAACUUGCACAGAGCAUGAGAAAAAUUGGGAAGUCAUAAUUUAUUAGGAUGCGAAGUUAAUUCAUGCCACACAAUAAAACGAACGCUCCAAUCUCCUCCUCCCUCUUUCCUCUCCUCACCAGCUUCGAUUUCCACCAUUUAAACCAAACAAAUUCCACAAGGAAUUCAUUUCUUAUUUGGGUAGAAAUUGCUGGUUUUUAAACUAAACUAUAUCAAAAUUCCAGCUGAGAAGCCUCUUAAUUUAUUCCCAUAAUUAUCGACCACAACCUACUUCCCCACGGUCCCUACACGCAUGUGAACAAACACAAAGAUGUUCGCAUCACUACUGUAUUUAAUGCUUAAACUCCGGAUUGGAAAUUACACAUUUCCGCUCCCGACCUAUAUAUUCCUCUAUCAUCUCCUCCUCCAUUUCUCGCUGCCCUUUUCUCUGAUUUUGUCCCUUUCCCCUCUCUCUCUCUGGGCAUGGUGGUGGUUGAGUUUAUAGGUUGUCGUCGGUUACAAAAUCCAUCAUAAGAUGUAGAAAACAACGUUUGUAUUGCCCAUUUUAAAUAUUCAGAGAGAGGGGACAGCAGAAUAUCAGCGACAGAGAGAGAGAGAGAGAGAGAGAGAGAGGAAAAUGAAAAAAAGUAUGGAGAUUGCAAGAAUCAGGGAGCUGCUGCUUCUUUGGUGUAGAGCUCGAAGCACCCGUGUGGCCCUUGUGGGUGGAAACCACACCGCUGCCAGAUUUUGCACCCGCUAAAUCCCUUUUUCCAUCCCCGUUGGCUUUGGUUUUUUUCCUGAUUAAUUAUAAUUAAGAUUUCUUGAUUUUGGGCUUUAUUAUUGCUCAAAAGUCUGCAUCUUUGCUCGCUGCUUUUUUGGUGAAGGUGCAUUGGAGGAUUAGUAGUUGAAAAAAGUUGCACGAAGAUCAAAAAUCAUUCUUUUUUGUUGUGAAAACAUGGAAUUGGCUCAAGGGUAUAGAACCAGCGCCGGAAUCAAGGUGAAGGAGCCGAAUGGUGGUGGGAUGGGAUUGAAUUCCCAUACCCUUUUGGUAAUUAAGCUGCCUGAUUCGCAGGUUUUGCAGAUUGUAUCCAGGUCGUUGUUUUUGGCAAUCAUUUUGCUCACAUUGCCUUCAAUUGGCUCUGUUUUAAGAAGCUCUUCCAAUGCUUCUAAGGUGAACUCUGAUCUGGCUAAUUUCAAAAUAUUGCCUGUUCUUUUUCGUGAUUUGGCCGACGAAGGCCUGAUCAAGAGGGGUCAGAAAGGCCUCAUCGUGGGUUCUAGCCUUGAUGAUUUGAUGAAAGAUUUGGACUUCGUGAGUGACAGUGAUAAUAUUGUGGCCUCUGAAACCAACUUGGAGGACUCCAUUCCGAAUGAAACUUUUGAUUUCGUUUUCAGCUUCAGCUUCAAGAAUGCUGAUUCCGUCGACCGCGUUCUGAAGAAUGGCGGCAUUGUGAUCACAAAGUUGAGCAAUGAUCCUUCAAGAUUGAUGCAACGACAAUCAAAUUAUAGGAUUGUGUAUCUGCGACGGUUUGAGAAUACCAUGGUUGCAAUGAGGAAAAUUAGCAGUAAAGAUGGCUUGACUAAUUCAGCCAAAAGGUCGAUCCCUUGUGGGAUCGCACAAGACGCCAGGAAAAUGGCAUUGAAAGGCUUAGAGGAUGCUUUGCUCGAGCCUCCCAGAAGGACAUUGUUGAAGUCCUCGAGAGAUGAAAUGAGGAAAAUCAAAUUCCUUCCUCAUCUGUUAGGGGACUUCCACUCCCUGGCAAGUUAUAGACGAAGGAUCUUGAUUUCAGAUGACAAAAGUGGUUUUGAAGGUUGGUUUCACAACAACUAUCCAACCGAAAACCAACACUUUGAGACAUACAAUCUAGAGAUUACUGCAGAAAAAUUGUCAUCAAGAAGCAUGGUGAAUCCUGCUGCAGGGAUAUCAGGUUGGCUGAAGAAUAAUGCGAGGCAAGAAGACUUCGUUGUAAUGAAGGCAGAAGCACAGGUUGUUGAUGAGAUGAUGGAGGAGAAGACAAUCUGCUUGGUGGAUGAGUUGUUCUUAGAGUGCAAGAACCACUUUCAAGAUGAUGGAGUGGAAGAAGAAAAUGAAAGCAAGAGGGCCUAUUGGCAGUGUUUAGCUUUGUACGGAAGCUUGAGAGAUCAAGGGGUUGCUGUGCAUCAAUGGUGGAAUUGAUUGCAAUCUAGCGACCUUUUGGAUGUCUGAUUAUGUUGUACCUUGUUUCUGGAAUUUCAUGGAUUGAAUUGGCAGGGAAAGUGGCCUAAAAUCUUAUUGGCCGCUUGAUUUUCUGUCUCUGAUUCUGUGCCAAUUGUGUUUUAAGGAAUUUGAUAUAUGUAAAGCGUAUUGUCUGCUUUGCCAGAUUAAUCAAAGAUGCUGGUACUAAGAAUAUUCCGAAUUUUCCAUUACAGCAAAGAAUCAUUUCCCCGUGCCUAUUUUGCGUUUACUGCCAGAAGCCCUGGCUGUGGGUUUUCUUCAUUUUUUGGCAAAUCAACCGCAUUAGACCUGGAGUUUACAUACUUAUUUUUUUAGAGCGAGCCUGAGAUUGCAAAUACAUGAUAACACUAAUAUGAAAAAAAAUAAAAGAAUAAGGACUAUCAAUAAUUACUACCAAGCCACAACCACCAUUCCCUGCAAUGCACCACAACUGCAUCCACAGUUGAACAGUUUCUUUUUGACAGAAAAAAAAAAGAAAAAGAAAGAAGAGAUGUAUAAAUAUGCAGCAGUGGUGUUGCAAGUUUCAUUAUCGACUUUUUUGGUGUUAGAAAAGCGAAGACCUAUAAACAACAGCUCAAUUUUCUCAUAGAAUAAUAACUGCAAUAAGCAUCUGCCAUCAAGAAAAGUAUCGAGAAAAAUCAAAGAAGAACCCACCAAGAGAAAACAAAAAUAAGGAGCUCUAAGUAUUAUAUUCUCUAUUUCCUUUUCUCUUGUAUAAAUAGACAAGAGUCACAGGGCGUAUAUGUCACAGAAAACUCAGAAUAUACAGACAGAUUCUACAGAUUGGGGACGUUUUUCCAUCCCCCAGGUGCUAGGAACCCCAAGAAAGGAGAGAAGCGAGAAAAAAAAAAAAAGGCUCUCACUAAGGGAUUCUCUAAAUUAACUGGAAUGAAGAGGCACAUCAAAAAAAUUCCCUAUCAAUCUCCAUGUUCAAUACCAGCUUCAGCUUCCCUUAAGUCAGCAUCAUUCAAAUCUAAUAAAUAGUCACAAAGCUCCAGAAGCUGAUCAGCCAUUGGAGGAAUACCUGGGUUGCGUCUAUCAUUGUACGCAUGGGCAUUGAAGGUGAUUUGCCAUAUGUCAUGCCUAAAUUCUUCGCUUCUUUUAUACUCCAUCCUCCUCACCUUUUCACGGAUUGUGGACAGAUCCAUCGGUCGGUUUAUGAUAUCAAGGUAGUCAGGAGCAUCCUUCUUGGAAACUGGCUUUAAAAAAAGAUAGGAAAUCUCUUGCUUCUCCUUGAGAGUCUCCACAAUGCUUUCCAGGAUGUUUGACAAGCCAACCUGAAAUAAAAUCAAGAUGAGCUUUACAUGCAAAUCUACAUUUUCAACCAAGAUUAAAGAAAAACACCAACAUGAGCAGAUAGAUUUGCUGCUUUACUAGAUUCCAGUCCAAGCAAGAUUAAAGAUAAUGCAAAGCAUCCCCAGUAAACUUAACAGCUAUCAUGCCAAUCCAGUCAAAAUAAUAACAAUGUAGAAUUAAAGAAUUACAAAGAUGGAGUACAAGCCUACAACAAGAUCACAUCACUCUUGUGCAUUUGUUUGAGAUUGUGUGAUUGGCAAGCAUCUAAACAAAAAAUGGCAUUUUUUGACAGAAAUGUCAGAUGACUAGCAAAAUAUUGUUUUCAAAGCAAAGCAAUUACCCACACCAAAGAACCUCCUUCCGCCCCUCCCCUCCCAAACAAGAAACAUCAAAAGAAAAUUGCCCAACAAUUUAAGUUAAGAUAAACAGUCCUUUUAGCUCUUCAACCAAAGUCAGAGAAAAGUAAAAUUACACAAGACUUGAUCUUGGAAUUUCUCAGCCCAUUCCAACCACUCUGUAAACAUGUAACGAGACCUUUUGCGCAGUUCCCUAGCCUUACUCCUACUAUAAGAAUCAAAACUCAUAGGCACAAGCUUACACCAUUGCACUCUUAGGAAUGAAUUAAAGCCUAACAAAAUAACCCCAGAAUAAAAACAACCAUACUAACACCUCAACACACACAUCCAUUGAAUGAUGGUAGCAAGCUCCAAAUCAUUGCUCAGGUUUUCACAGGGUGGGGGGAGGAGGGGUGAGGGUGAGAGUCCUAUGGAUGAAGCAGAUUUCAACAUCUAUAAUCAUACAAAAAACAAAAUAUUCCCCAAUGUGAGGAAAGGUUAUUUAACAUCAUGGAAAAACUUACCUCUCCUCCUCGUCUGCGCUUUGUUGCUGGGCCAUAGCCAGCACUGUAUCUUCCGGUAUCAGGUCCUGGUUUCCUCUUUGCUGUUCUGUCUGGUAUCCUCCUGUCAUUUCUUCUGGGAGGAAAAUCAUCCAGGUAAUCAUCUCUAAUUUCAGGUCUUUUCUUCUUUUUCUUCUUCUUUUUUGCCUUUUCACGUUCUUCUUCUUCUCUCUCCCUGCGGAUGGUUUCUUCAUAUCGUCUUAUCUCGGAAAAUCUAUCCCGCUCUUCCAUCGCCCUUUUCUGUUCCUCCAAAUACCUUCGGGCUCUUUCUUCUUUUUGUCUGAUAGCAAACCUCCUCUUCUCCUCCGCUUCCAACCAUCUCUUCUCCUCUCUGUUCUUCUUGCUUGCUGCUUGGUCAGUGAAAUAUUUGCUUUGUCGCACCCUAUGCUUAUCAACACUUGUCAAUUCAACAAUUUUUUUUGUUUUCCGGUACUCAAUUCCACUACUUCCUUCCUGACUUACGUCAUCCACAUUUAUAACCUCCUUUGGCCGUUUGAUUAUGAUUUUCUUGCGAGGCUGGUCUCUAUCAGACUCUGCUGGUGGCCUUAUAACAAUGGAAGGCUUUUGAGACUCAACCAGCAUAUCAUCCGGUUUAGUUUUGUUUGAAAAAAUAAUUUUGUUUACUUUGACAGCAGAUUUAUGUACUGUUUCAGCAUCUGAAGUUACAGGUUUGUCAGAAUUCUGUGAUGUGGCAGGAGUGAGCUUAUCGGGGGGUUUGUCAGUUGUGCCACAUUUGACCUUCAGAAUUUUUGCCUUUGUACUAGACUUGUCAUCCUCGUGGGCUUCAACCACAGCAAUUUUGGUUGCACUUUUCUGUAUGAGCUUCUUUGUAGAAGUUUUCUGCUGGGGUUGAUCUGCCUGAUCCAGAAUACCAACUUUCCCUAAGUUCUUCUCCGGCUCGUUGUUUUCAGCACGUGUUUCAACAUCUUCACCAUAUUUGGGGCAAUUUUUAUUAGUCCUCAUAUGACCAAGCUGAUACAUGGAAUAAAAAGGGGGGAAAAUCUCUUAAGAUCCAGAACUGUAAGCAAAGUAACAAGAUUCAUGUAUCAGCACAAACCUGGCCACAAGCCCCACAGACAAAACUCUCUCUUGCUGAUUUCUUUUCCUUGACAAUCUGGUGGCAAACAGAAAAAUUUCUACGUUGGUAGCAUGUCACUCAAAUCUUAGAGACAAUGGAGACUCAAACAAGCUUGCUAGUUUUGUAAUAUUAUGCACACGGGGUUAGGAGGGAAUGAAACUCAUAUAAGUACUUAUAUAUGUAUGUAUAUUUCAAUAACAAUCAGCUCAAAUGGAAUUUGACUACCAGCAUAGUAUAAAAUGAAUGAAACACAGAAUUGUUCCCAUCACACAGCAACAAGACAGGGACAUCCAGUAACAAAGAGAGAUACCUUAAUUCCAUCACCCAAUAUUUUAACUUUCUUUUUUAGAAGCUCCAUCUGUUCCAUGUCAUUCUUCUUCUUUGCUUUAAGUUUCCCGGAUAAGUUCUUUUUAGCUGAAAUAUUCUCGUCCUGCAUCCAAACCAAGGCAAAAGUAAAAUUGCUGAUUUUCUUGACUUGAAUUUGGGGACACAUUUGCAAUUACUGUCAGUAUAAUUUGUGUGACUUCAAGAUCCAUUCAUUCCAUGGUAAAACUUAAUCACAUCAUCUUGAUGAUAUGACGAAUAAAAGCCUAAGAAAGUUUGUCUGCUUAAGCAACCAAAGAAUACACAAAUUGAGCCACAAAGCAAAAUCACGGAAAUUGUCCUAGAAAGCUGACUGCUCUACUGUCAACUUUCUGACACAUCAUCAUACAGAACACCAUGCAUCCUGCAACCUCCACCAGUCAAUGUCACUGACUAUCUCCUCAUUCUAAUGAAUGCCUGGCCCGGUGGGUUAAAGCCAACAAAAACAAGAGAGCACUCAAUCACCAUCGUUAUUUCCCACAGCCCAUGUUUCUGCUUUCCAGAAAAGGAAAAGCGAUAACAUAAGCCACAUUAACUGUGUAUCUCUGAAUUAGAACAAGUAUGUUACUUGUGGUGGAAAUGAUUGCAAGUGUUUAGCUUAAAAGAGACUCCAGGAAAAUAUUCAGCCAAUAAGACAUGAGUUCAAGAAGUCUUGGAGGCCAAAAAUAGAAGAAGACUUCUGGUGAAGCUACAAGGCUAUAGAGCAAGUUUUGAUUCUGGACGCAAGCAGUUAGACUAAACAGAGGUCUGAUGUCAAGGGAGGCUAGCUACCAGUUUGGUGACUUGUAUCAAACAUGUAGCUAGGAUACUUAAGCAUAUAGCCAUUUUCACAGCCAGUAUUCAUGAGUUAUGAGAGGUAAGUUGGAAGUUGUUGUAGGUGCAUGAUAUGUGGUAUGUAGGAAGACCCUCAAAUUUGUCUGGUUGUCCCAAAGAAUACCAAACAUUUGGAUCAAAUUGGAAGGACACACAAAAACUUCAAAAAAUAAAUGAACAAUACAAAGAAACUGAACCUCUUUACGAUCUCUAGUGGCAUUCUCCUUUGCUAGAGGUUGUCCAUCUAGUUGUAUGUUUCUCUUGAUAACAUUGUUCGUUUUCUGUAUUCGCUCAACAUUCUCAACACCAAGCUUCAAUUGCGAGACUGAACCCAACCGAACUUGGUCCCCUCCAACUUUAACUUUUUUCUUCUUCUUUCUAUCAGCUUCAUCAUCUGCAGAAUCAACUUUAUCAAUCAGAAAUGGGAAAGUUUGUGGUUCAAUAUUUACAUCAGUGAAAAAGACUUGUAACUUCUCAUUUGAUGCACAUUUUCUUUUUACUUUAGAAACCCCAGAAGACAACUUAAAACUACAACCACAUGAAAUUGUUGAGUAACUUGGACCAACUAAAGUGAUUCCUGCUUUGUGUCUAUCAGAGGACAGAAACAUGUCCAGAUAUCACAACUGUUCGACAAGUCAUCAAUUCAUGUUACAAUUUGCUUGUCAAGGGAUUGGACAACUCACAAGGUACAAAUAUUUCUCUGGGUUUAUUCUUCUAUUAACUUCUUUUAGUUGGGUUGAUUAAUUCUAGGAAUAAUAUAAGACCACCAACAAACCAGAAGCAUCAUAUUCUUCCCUGCAUUAACCUGUUGAUCAAGGUCCUAGAAUGAAGCAAAAACAUUGAUCUAUCCAAUACAGAGUAUAAACAUCACUCAGCACAUCCAGAACCACACACAGAGAGGGACCCUGCAAAACUGACUCAGAAAUUAAAGGACAACGACAAGAUGAAACCAUUUAUAUCCUUAUUGUACUGAAUGUAUUUGGUCAUCGAGGCAUUCCAUAUAAACUCACCACCACUUUGAGUAAAUAAUCGUACUGAAGAGCUGUCUAAAAUCUUACAUCUGUAUUUUAUAUGACCAGCAGCUAUUAAGCUGCAAGAAGAAUGAUAACUAGAAACAGUAAAAGUGAUUAUUACAUACCAUCCAUAAGCAUUCUGCACAACUCAGCUGCUUCAGCAGCCUCAUCUUCAAUUUCCUCCUCUGCCUGUGCUUGGAAAGGUCGCCUUCUCAUCUUAAUCCCCUUAACCCCAUCAAUGAUAUCAUUCUUGGAAACAUUAUUACCAUCUUCACCAUCUUCACACUCUUCUGCAUCCAGAAGAUUUUCCAAAUCCCCAGCAAAGGAAUCUAGGUCACUGUUGGCUUCAGAGUCACUUUCGUUUUCUUCACCCUCAACAGCAGAAAGACUUUGAACUUGUCGAUCCCAUAUUUCCUGACAUUUUUCCCUCGUCUGCUGCUGCAGCUGCAUAAACGACAUUCUUUGGCCACGAGCAUACUUGCUGAUUGUUGUUGGAUCUACCUUGACCCCUGAUGCAGCUUGCUCACUUGAAAGCUUGCGAAUCAUAGCAAUUCGAUGCCACCUAGUCUGCUUAGCUAUUUGCUCCUCUGGUACAUUGAAUUUGAGGAGAACCUACAAUAUGCAUGCCAACAUCAUCUCAUGUACAUCAAAAUAAAUAACCCUUUGUUUAGGGACAGAAGACAAAAACAUGCAAUGUGUCAGUAUUACAUGCAAGACUUAUGGUUCUAGGAUUGCAUUUAUGAGUUUUUUUUUUUUUUAAAUCAAUGUGUAUGCUGGUUUUAUGUCAGAAAUAUAAAAGAGUCAAAUACCAUGCAAUGCCCGGCACAAGCACAUCUUUAUGGUAGUCCAAUAGUAUGAGAACAAUAUGAACAAAGGAGAAUUAGGAAAUUUCACCUUUUCCAUGUUUGUUUCCUUGAACAUUUAAAGAAAAAGUCCAACUUAAGUUUAACAAUGUCUCUAUGUACUUUUGAUCAAAUCAAAUGGCUAACCAAACAAGAAAAUGUUGAUUAAGUUAAGUUUUUAAUAUCAAAGAAACUAAUCAGAAUCAAAUUCAGCCUUGUACAAGUAGCUAGAAAUGUCUCUUUUCAGUGCUCAACCAAUUCACCACAGACACGCUUCGUUUUCAAAUCAGUAAGAAAUUGAGAAAAUUUUUAAUUUCUUGUAGAUUUGAGGUGCAUAAAUAAUGAGAACAUUUCAUAGUUAGUUCACUCAUUGGUUAUCAGCAAAGAUCAUUCUUGGCGAAAAAUCAACACACCUCUCGUGCAGCUUCCAUGCUCAAUCUGCGUAGAUCGGCAUCGGUACCGGUUACUGUUGAACCUUUACCAACAACUGCCUUUUUCUUCACCAUUGUAUUUGAUACAGGUGCCUUAGGAGUAUUACGAACAAAACUGAAACCUAGCCCACGUCCAGAUGGAUCACCAACACCUGUAAUUUCCAAACGUUCAAUAUUUUCCCUGUCCUGCAUCAACAGCAGACAUGGGAAAAUUCAGUGAAGUCAUAGUGCCGAGAUUAAGUACCUAAAAAGGUCAUUGAAAACAACUUUUGGGUCAUAUUUCAUAGCAACAAGAACUGGAAUCCUCCCAAUGGAUACCAUACAUAAUUUAUAAGGUCACUUGUACAUCUGUCAUAUUGUAAAAGAUAGCAUCUUUAGAAAAAGUACAUGACGUAUGGAUAUCAUUACCUGAUUUGUGCAGGCAACAAAGUUGCUACUCAAGUUCCAUGGUGUUAUUUGCAGCUCCCUUUCAAUAUGAGAUGCAGCAGCUAACGCAAUAGCUUCAUCUGGAAGCUGAUUCAUUGCAGACGACAGGCCUGUUGGUGAAGUUAACCUAGUAAUUCCCAACCGCUUGAGCCUGUACAAGCCAGCUUGCAUGCUUUCAUAGGCACAAACCUAUUCUCAGACAAGUGAAAAGGAUGCAAUUGUUUAAGGACAAAGAAUUAGGAACAAAGAGGAAGGUAGAAGGUUAACUACGAAAAAAAGAAUUGAUGCAGCCUAUUAGCGGAAAACAGAAUUUUCCCCUAUUUUGGUCUUCUAUAAGCACCCCUGUUCAAUAAUAUUAUCAUUUGUUGAAAUUGAUUAGGUUUGCUUCCAACAAGCAGUCAUUUUGGUGAAGGUAAAUGAAUUCCUCCAACAUAUGAAGAAAACCCAUUUCCAUCCAGCUUUUCUAUUUCAUGCACCACAAGAAGUUACCAUCUGGAGAAAUGAAAGAAGACGGAUAUAUCCAUUCUGUCUUGCAGUGGUUUUAAGUCGAAUCACAGCAUGCUAGCUUGGACAAAACCAUAUAAUAUUUACCUUUGAAAUUAGAGUGAAAGAAGAACAGGGACAUCCUUAAAGUAGAGAGAAGGGAGAUUGUUCAUUAGCAACUGCUCUUAUAAUCCGAUGACCAGCAAGUGGAAACCAGAUUGUAGCAAAAUUCUCAAUAGUCUUAGAUGCUUUUUACUACAAUACCCACUCAAGUUCUAUGAAAUGGACACUUGACUGGCUGAAAACAAGUUAAAUACAAACUUAAUUUCUCGACUCUGGUCAUUGCAGAAUGUCAAGGGGGUGACUUUUCAUGCUCGCCUCCAACUAUUUUCGUAAAAAUCACAAGAAGCAUUAGAAGCCUAUUUCCAGACCAACCGCAUCAAGGCACACAUUCAAAAGCCAAAAGAGGAUGCCCCAAACAUCAGUUGAGCUGGCUAUCCGAAUGUUACAAAUAAGUAAAUAAAAGUCAAAAGUAAUUGUAAAUUCUAUCCUAGCAGAUAAAUAUUGGAAUCUAGCAAAGCUCAAUUUACUUCAUGUUCAAGAGUGACUCUAAUAACACCAGUACAGGUAAAGGAGGAAAAACAAACUCAAUAAACAAUAUAUUGCUUCAGGCAAAUACGAUUAAAUCAAAUUUUAGAAAAUCAUGUUUAUACAGCUUUUCAGUCAAUACAUCAGCAGAUGUGACGGAUAGCCUUCCAGGAGAAGCGCUAAAACAUCCCAAACUUCAACAUGUCCCACUCUUAAAUGGACGUUGAACUUCACGAUGUUUUCAGACAAAAUACCAUCAAUUUAAAAAUAUAAAGCUCAAAACAAACAUAUGAUCCACCCAUCACACUCAACUGGGGCAAACCAUUGAUCCGAAAACUCAAAAAUAUCUGUGACAAAACACUCUUGAUCACAUGCUCAAUACAUACAUGCAGAUCGUAUGUUGUAUCCUACAUGUAUAAAGGAAGAGGAAUAUGGAUAAAAUUUGUUAACUAAGAGCUUACAUUCUCUGGUGUCACCAUCCUCCUUAGUUCCUCCUCCAAAGGAAUGCGGAAAUUGCGCCUCAUAGCCCAAAGAAGCUGUCCAUUUGAUCCUCUCUGGUAGAUUGCAAAUUGAGGUUAACUAUUUGCACAUACACGACCACAAAAGAUUAAGAAGAAAAGAAAAUAAUUCAAUGACAUAUAGCAGCGUCAGUGUGAGCUUCUCCAUGCAGUAACGCACUUAGCAAUAUAUUUACCAAAAAAUUCUCAUUAUAGAAAGGUCAUAUUUUUUCUAUUAAAAGAGGAUAAAUAUACCCAUGAUAGAGAAGAUGCUGUCAACAAAUUUCUAGGCCUAAUGAUGCCUAAUUCAAUUGGUACUUGUUACUAAUGAAUGAAGAAGUUCGAAUUCUGAAUCAGUUAGCUAUCACAUAACCUACACAAUAGACCAUACAUGGGAUAGAUGUACAAUUCACAACUUUCAAAAAGUGAGUAAUACAGAGAGUAUUGCUAGAGAUUAAUAUCAUAGAAGCUGAGUCUUUUAAUCACUAACAGUCCAAAGCAAAUGACUUAGUUAAGUUACUUCAUUCUUACAAUCAAGUUCUUUCCCUUUGUCAACAAAAGGACACCAGUUUAAAACCUAUAAUCCUCAAAAACCGGUACGCUAUUCCCUUGUUUCCUUGAAUUUAUAAACCUGAACGUCUCUUUUAACUUCUUUUUUCUAUUUUCACUCUUCUUUAAUGAGCAGAGUCGGGGGAGUGGGAUUGACGUUGAGGUUGUCGGAUUGGUAACCAAAUAAUUCGAUUAGUUCCGUAAACUAGAUUCAAAGGUAUAAUACCUGCAAAUCAGCACAAUGUUUUAGCCUUUUCCGAAGAAAUGCUUCUGAUAGGCUGGGAAACUGUGCAGACAACUCAUCAGCGCGUAUAGAAGGCCGUAACCCACGCUUCUCAGCAGCAGAAAACUCACGGUACAUAUACACCAUCAACCUGUUCAUAAUGUAUGUUUGAACACUUUUUGAUCCAGGGGACAUUACCUCGAUGUGAGGCUCCUACAUAGUUGACAUGAAACAAGAUAAAAUUAAGAAUUGAAGUUUUGCUAUGAUUUUUUAGGUGAAACAAGAAAUAGAAUUCAAAAUGUGCACAACAGAGGUUAUUCCCAAACUUAACUUCACUUCUAGCUGUAUUGUUCCCUCAGACAUAUAUCAAGCUUUAAUAAUAAGAUAGUCAGAUUACAAUAACAAAAUGAAUAUAGAUGCAAUGAAUACUUCUCCAGAUCACAAAAGCUACAGAAAACAACCCCAAAGUCAAUAAAAGAAAAUUUCUGGUUUUUCCUUCAACUCAUUUAACCAUUACGAAAGCCAUCAGAAAGCUGCAGCUGAAGACAAAGAUGCUGAAAUCAAAAGCAAGACAAGUAAGACCACCUAAGCAACUUCUAAAUCAAGUACUGCACAGAGAAAUGAUAUGAAGUGUGUGACUAAUUAAGCUCCAACGAAUUUGUUCUCCAGAAAACAAAAUCUGUAGAACUUUAAGACACCUGAAGAGAAAAACAAAACUGAUAAAGGCAGAAAAAAUCCUUUAUCAUGCACUUUCUUUUUCUUUUUUCUUUUCUUUUUCCACAACUAUACUUAUGCUACUACUUUCAUUUCUUUGCCACUAGACCAUAUACAUUCCUUUCCCCACUCUUCCCUUCAUUCAAACCCAACUUGCUCUAUCUAUGCAAGUACUAUGCAGGAAUUUAAUGAUUAGCAUUGACCUUGAAGUUGCAGUUUUCUAUCCUCUGAUUCUUUUGAAUCAAUAAAUUUAUAUCAUUCAGAGCCAUAUACAGAAUUUUCACAUCUUUUAAGUAUUCAUUAGCUACAAACAACCAAUUUUCGUAGCAGAAAGAAUAACAGGAGUUUCUUCUGUACUCCUCUCUCAAAAUGGGUGAGACCAGCCUUCAAACCUCUCGUCAACCAUGUGCAAGAAUAGUUAUUCUAACAUGCAAACAAAAAUUUAAAUAUGUAGUGGAGGAAGAGGGAACAUGAAAGGCAACUCUGUGUGUGUGUGCGCGUGUGUGAGAGAGAGAGAGAUAUUCCAUGUAUACAGAGACAAGCAGAUCAAACAAUUUUCGCACGAGCAUGUACCUAUGCCUGUCAUCAAGCAACAAAUCCAAGGUAACACAAUAGAUUUGGUUGAAAUGUAACCUUUCCGAGAUAUUUAAAGAAAAAUAAAAGAUAAAGAAAAUCUUUUUAACCUGUUGUCCAACAACAUCAAUCCUGUCAAUUCGUCUUAUUGAAAGUUUUCCUUUUGCAGUUCGGACCAAUAGAAAAUCAGCUGAUGACACCUUAUGCUGAUAUAUAGGUGCUCGAUACAUAUUGGUUUCGAGAGAUGAUUGACUGCAACCAGGUUUUAUGUCCCCAAGAAAAGGGGAUUUAUCAGCAGGAUCUAGGAUUAAAACACUCCCCAAUCCGUUAUUCCCAUUUCGCAUUAAGUUCCCUGUUUGAUCACCAGGGGCAGACUUUUGGUAGUAAGUGCACAGUCUUGCACCCAUUCCCACAUUUCCCAGGAGUAAAGGUCUUUCUUCACAGUAUCUGCCAGUAACACACCAAAGAAAGAACAUCAGAGAGAUGCAAUUAUUUACAGAAUUUUAUGACAUGUCAAACAUUUAUUGCAAGACACGUACUCUAGAGGUUUCAGCAGAGCCAAAUUUUACAACUGUUAAAGAACACCCCCACCCCAACUUCUCUCCAUGCUCAGACCAAAAAAAAGAAAGAUAAAAUAGUAAACCAUUUCACAAUGACAAGCCUAUAUUUAAUAGAAAUAGUAAACCCUCUCCCUGUCAAGGAUCCCUAUGUAAGGGUUUGACAAGUCUCCAUUUUGCGACUUAAACACAUCCCAUCAGCACAAGCACGAGAAAUAGACCUCUGGAGGGCUCCAAGCAAUAAAUUUGUUUCAAAGAUGAACCCAUCAAAUAAGGACAGAAAAAUGAAUGCUCAAUCUUUCAAUCUUUCCUUCACUCUUAAGUUCUUCACAAUGAAUGCUUAAUAGCAAUGCAUGUGGCAGAACAUGUUUAGAGUUCAAAAACUCCACAUUUCCAAUUUGGUGUGCUACAUUUACAUGUUAUGAAACUUAUUCUUAAGUUCCAAUAGAAGAAUCACGUGAAUAACAUACUUAACCAUCUUCAUAUAAGAACCUUGGGAAAACGAUGUAUUAACUCUGAAACAACCAAGACAUGGCACCAAUACCUGCAUUACUAGUUCUUCCUCCUCCAUGACAAUUUUAUAUGCUUAAACCAUAAAAAAACAAACCAUCACAAUUACUCUACAAAGUCUUAUAGUGUUUACUAACAGAAUGUUAGACAAGGAGGUGGCAACAUUUAAUAUAACGCAAACAGCAACAUAAUCAUUGAUUCAGCACCUCAGAUAUACUUUUCACUAUUGUAAACGUGAAACAAAAUUACAGUCAAGGUGAAGACGUAUUCUGCCCCACAGUUCCAAUAAACAAUACUUUAUUGUGACCCAGAUCUUCACAUCUAACAAAUCACAAGCUGAUCUAAUUACAUGGAAUAGAAUUAAUCUUGACUGAGAUUGUUGGACUAUCUUUUGUAUUCAUAAGGGACUGGUGUAUAGAUGAUAAGCAAGAACUUUUAAGACUUACUCCAUCAGAAAGACAUGACCAUCCUUUACUGAAAGAUCGGACUUCUUCUUAAAUGCCCCAGGAGGACGCAAAGACUUGUUCUCACCAGGGAUUUUUUGUGCCCUGGGUAGUAAAUGGAUUUUUGUACGAACAAGGUGCAACAAGGAGUUUGGUCGCACAUUUUGUGCAGCAAGAGUCUUGUGGUCUUCUAGCUCCUUUCCAGAAUAAACCACUUUCACUGGCUCAGACAAUUUAAAAUCUACAAGCAAGAGAUAAAACAAUAUUUCCAUAUUCUAUAGCAAACGAAGAACAACUAGAAUUUAACAACGAAAUUUAGUAACACCAGAAGCAUAAUAAAAGUGAGACCUAGCUUCUUUGAAGCUUUAGCUUUAACUGAAGAGAUGGUCUCCUCGCCAUCCACAUGAAGUUUACAUCCUUUGCCUCCCAAACUCUUUAAUAUGACCUUCAUAGGUCCUUGCGUAGACAGCUUCUCUUGUUCUUUCAGUGCCACCUCAUUAUCAUGAGGAUACCAUAAAGCUUUUGGUCGAUGGAAAUUAGCAAUAUCUUUACUGAAGGUACAUCAAAAAAUUCACAAUAAGCAGUAGCAGACUAACACGCACUCAAAGCCCUAAUACGAAUAGGAAACAGAGCAUCCUAUGCAAGUAGAAGACAAAAAUAACCUCACAUACUGGAUAAGAGAUGACAUUUUAACCAAAAAAACAACAUGAACUAAGACAAUAAGUUCAAAAGAAGAUUAGAACAGGAAAAGUAGACAAGUAAGAAAACUGACAAAGGGUCAAGAUUGGAACUUAAUAAGACGAUCAACUUGCUGAAUAAACAGCCAAGCCUCAAGCAUAAAAAUUUACACAUGUUAAACAAAGUAAAACAGACCAUCUAUGGUAAAAGAACUACAAAAAGAAUAUGGCACUCAACCCUUACUUGCUUAGCUUAACUUUCAUCGUCUGCAGCUUAAGUGUUGGAAUUGAAUGCAGAACUUUGAGACCAUGAGCUGUACGCUUCUUCAUAUGUGAUUUCACCUGCUGGGAAGAUUUCCUAUUUGAGUAAAAUUUGUCAUUUGAGAUGUUAAACCUACCUCCUGAAAGACCUCCAUGACUAUGUAGCUCGACAGAGUCACCAGUACUAGGCUUGACUGAACGGGUUAUAAUCAUAGCACCAGCAUGAAGCCUAAGAUGCUUACUGUCCUUAUUAUCUUGAAUUUCAAAAAGCAUUUGUUCAUCUCGGAAAUCUAAUAUCAGCUUCGGCUUUGAAAUGGGCUGAUUUGAAUCCCAAAUUAUAUUGUCCAACCAAGAUCCUUCCUGCAGAUCUCCGUUCUCUAACAUGAGCCUAUUAAAACGGCUUAUGACACCAUUACCUAGAACUUUUUCAGAGCCUCCUUCAUGUCCAAGGUCAGUAUUAUUUGGAUCAUCUUGAUCAAAUCGAGACUCUAACCUUAAAAGUUGAGGAUGAUACAUUCUUUCACAGUAAGGCAGUUUUGAAGGUUCAGAAAGACUUCCUGAACCAAAGGGCUCUGGUGAUAUGGAAAAACCAUGACGAAAAGGAUGUUCAUGUUCACAACGUUCUCUUUCAAGAUCUGACACCAGAGGGUGAGUAUCGGCCUCGAAAUUCUUAUCACCCAGUACGUCAGAAUCAGGUCCAGACAUCUCACAACUCUCUUCAAUACAGGAACUCUGUGCGGGAGAAUUAUCCCAAAUUAUCCUAUCCUCCCAGUUUAGUUGAUCAAGAGGGUAAAACUUUGGACAAAUAGGUGAGUUCCACUCUGGAGGAAGCAUCACUGGCAAAUCUUCUUUAAAUGGUUCAGAACUCUGACAAGAAUCUUUUCUACACUGGUCAACUUCUGCAUCAAUUUUACCAUCUUCCUGGAUAACACCAAACUUCCCCGAUCCUAAAUCAUCGUCCAUAAAUGUUAAAACAUUGUGUUGAGCCACUUGGGCUUGUCUCGUACCAGACACAUCUAAGCCGGAUCCCUUCAAGAAUGUUUCCUCAUCUUCUUCAACAUUUUCUGGAGUAUCCAUAGUCUUGAAUUUAUCUGAAAACAUUCAACAUGAGGAAAGGACCAAUGGCUAAACUGGAAGUCCAUAAAGAGAUGCAUAAGGUGAAUAAGCGCAAGUGAUUAAUAUAUUACUGCCAUAAAAUUUAUUAGCAGCAAUAUACUCGAAACAUUCAGGUACAGAAAAUAUAUACCUCUAGGAACAGGAUAUUUGCGCUCCCUUUUGUCAGACUUCUUUAAAGGCUCAUAAAGGCCAAAAAUUUCUGAAAAACGUAGAAUCACCAAUCCAUCUUCAACACAAAGAAUAGGCAGCAGAGUUGAAUCGUUGCCCCCAGAUGGCUCCUCUAAGCCCACUGGCACCUCCUGAUAAAUUAGUAUCAACUAAGAAUGAGGAAUAUGGCAUACUAAUAAAAAGAUAAUUAACAGUAAAGUCUUAGAAAAAAUUAAACAGACUGACAACAAUAAGCUUAGAAAUCUGAAAGCAACUAACACCACUAAGGUCAAAACCAAUCAUGACUUCUGAUUCUUUAUUGGCAAAAGACGUAUGUUAAUUCUAACAAUUCUACCAAUACCAUCAGCUCACAAAGCUUUAAAUAAAAAGAAAAUGUCAUACUAAUUAUCCUCACAGGAGAACAAGGUGUAAAAGACAGUUUUAGCACUAAAGAACAUGUCAAGAGUUUGUGUUCCUAUCAAAUUUAAAUACAAGAGGUUUUUCAAAAAAAAAAGAAAAAGAAAAAACUCUAUUGGGAACAAGUUGGGGCAUAUAAUACAAACCUCCUCAGAAUCUACAAUAUCAGCGGUCAAGAAUUCAGAUUCAAGCGCAUCUUCAAAUGCAUCCCCAGAUGAAGCAUCUUCAUCAAUCUUUUCCCCUUGAGAAAGGAGGUUAAGACGAUCAUAAAACAUAUACUAUGGGUAAACCAUUUCAUAGUUAGGCACUAUAUCUUUCCAAAAAAACUCCUCAUUAGAACCAUCAGACUUGAAAAGAGAAUAUAAAUUAGUGCUAAAGGUAAGAACCCAGGAUAAUAGAUCCAUACAUGCUAUUUAUACAGCAAUCCCAACCUCAUAUGAUCUACGAUUAGGACUCUCAAUUACCUGAUUCAGACGCACAUGAAGAUUAAAACUGAAAAGAAAAACUCAAAAUGACACCUGUGCGUACAAAAAAAUUAAUCUGCGCUUAAGAGUCGAGUCUGUUUUCUUAAGACUUUACUCCAUGUUUACCCUUCAGUAAGUGCAACAUUGACACAGAUUAAACAACUGCAGAACUGCUAUGAAAUUUAAAUGAAAGGGAAAAGCCACAUAGCUUUAUGAUAACAUCUUCUGCUCUUAAUAUAAAAAUAUCAUGGCUGACCAAAUAUAUGGUAUAUCAAUGCUAAUAUAAGAAAUCCAUGGUGCAUACUACUUCAAAGGUAUGACUACUCUUGGUUUAUUCAAGGUCUUAGUCAUCAACUCCCAUUGCAUCCUGCUAAUAUUCAUCCACCACAUAAACUAUUACCAACAAAUAAGGAAAUUAAUAUAAGGUGGCAGUAGCCUGUUUUUUCCGGGCUGAUUGUUGAUGAGCUAAAUGAUUUUAAGCAGAAUUCAACACCAUAUCUGACAAUUUUCCUGUAGCUUUACUCUCUCUCUCUCUCUCUCUCUCUCUCUCUCUCUCUCUCUCUCUAUACACACACACACACACACACACACACACCUGUUUCUCUCUUCGUGUAAUACCCUUGUAAACAUGAUAGUACUCAGGUCCCCUCUCUCCCUCUCUCUCUGUGGAACGCACUUGUACUCAUGAUACUGUUCAGGUUAACAGACUAACCAUGGAAAAAGAUUAAAUCACAGUGAGUUUCCUCUCCAAUGAAGCAGCUUAAGGAUUCAAAAGCCACUGAAUAGGCAAAGAUACAUCAACAACAGGGGACCCAGAGAUAGAGAAAUAGCUAAAACAUGAUAUCUACACCCAAGUUCAAUAAUAAUGGCAACAAGAACAGAUUUAGGAAGUUCUACAAAAGAAGGAAAUGUUGCAAAAGUUAUCUUUGUUUCAGUCUAAGAAGCAUCCGUAGGUGAAUGUUCAAGAGUCAGCCAGGGGUGGAAGUCUAUUGGUUCCUCAUGGGUGGAUCCAUUGGUCAGCCACAUAGCAACAGCUCUAGGGGACCGCCUUGGCCACCAGUUGAUAAAAUAAGGCUGACUAGUUGGUAGACCAUUUUACUGUAAAUACUGGUGUAGGCCUCUUAAUUUGGCAUGCCCUGAAUAACAAAAUUUUCAAAUGAGUACCUUCCUCAGUCUCAGGUGAGUCGAAUGAUCUCUUCUUCCCUUCUCCCUUAGUUCUCUCCCUUCCUACUUUCUAAAACACUCUUCUUGGCUACAAUUUUGACCACCAAACAACUAUCUAAACUCUGCAACCCUUCUAAUUUCUAGGCAACGUACUUUAGCACUUAAAACACUCUAGCACUAAAAGUCACAGGCACAAAUUUCCAGAAAAAGGACUUCCAUGACACUCUAAGAAAGAAAACAUUUGACAUUAAAAUUUCAGAAAAGUAUUAAUGCAGAAAACUGGACAAACCAAAUUACAGAGACGUGUCAAGAAUGUAGCAGAAAAUAUGCAUAGAUUACUAAUCAAACACUAUUGUUGCGGCUUACUAUAGGAAAAUUUAAAUUAACUACCAACUUCAAUACUAGCUUGUUCCUAACACUAGAAAGCUUCUAGACUUAAGUCUAUAGCAUGAAAGGAGUUGUAUCAUCAACAUGGCAUUAAUGAACAGAAGCUGACCAAAAACUCUUGUUAAGAUUGACGAAUUUUAAAUAGACUCCAUUUCUAGGCACAUAUUAACAUAUGUGCCUGCACUAUCCACACCCCCAAAGAAUAUCACACUGCAUACACCCAUCCGUCCUCCGGACAUUAACUUUCUAUAUACAGCACAUUGUCUUCAACCAGGUGAUGCUCCAUCAUGACACUAGUUUUUUUUUUUUUAAGUUUUUGGCUCAAGAACUGAAAAGCUGAAAUGAAAUGCCAAUUUAUGGGUAUUGGUACCUUAAGCAACACAAGGGUGCUGCGGAAGUAAUACAAUAGGAAAGUACAUGAUUACCUCAUAACCAGAGAGUUCAAAAAGCUGAAAAGCACUCGGCCAAGAGGGAGUCAUCAACACUACUACAGUACAAGAAUCAAAUAUCUAUAUCCACUCACAACAACUUCUUGUGCUUCUACCACUGAAGGAAGACAUACUACUGAGCACUAAACCCAUACCUGGCAACUUUAUUAGCAAACUUAAAGUUCCUUUUUUAGCCAUUAAUCCACCAACUACAUACUCAAAAAAGACUACAUGCAGGGCCUUCGUAGAUGAAUAAAGAGAAACAGCUAAGCAUUUAGUUUCUAAGCCCCCGAAACAAAACCUGGGACAAAUUAGACUCUAAUAUUCACAUUCCGACAUCAAGAAAAAAGACAAUCUAAACUAUAAAUAACUAAAAGACAGCAUAAAGGCAUAUCCAAAUCCUUUAAAUGCAACACUCAAAAAUUGAUAGAUUGACAAUGAUUCAUAAUUAAACCUGCUGAAAGUAUGGAUUUCACUUCAAUAUUGCUUUCGGCCACCUCGUCCUUCUUUUCUGAUUCAUCAUCCUCGUCAUAAUUUUCAUCAUCAAAGACAGAAUUGAUAUUCCCCAAAGUACUCAUUGAUAUUUCUUUAGAAAAAUAGUCCUUUCUUGGCAACAAAAAAUCCUCUUCUGUAGCUGCUUGGACCUCCGGCCCUUCAUAUUGCUCCUCAAUAUCUUCAUAAUCAACAGCAUCUUCUGCCUUUUUAUCAUAGUCUAGUUCUCGCAAACAAGAAGAACAGGAAAAAGCACUAAUCAGAAUCCAUCACACUCAGAAAUGAAAUAUUGUGCUCACCACAGUAAUCAAACCCAAAUUGGCUACCAAUGGAGUUAUGAAAUAGUUAUCUAAGAUACAUGCAGCAGAUUACAAGAAUAUUAUUAUAACCCAAGUGCAUUUCAGCUUGGAAGCUAUCAUACAUAUAUCUACCAAAUGAAAUUUUACUUUUAUAAAAUCCUUGAAUUAAUACAGAAGAAAAACCUUAUGGAAAAACACCUGAUCCACAACAAAGCAGAAAAUGCAUGAGACAAAAAAUUAAAUUAAAAAAUGAUGAUGACAAGCUUUAGAUACUCUGGAAAUCAAAAGUGAAAGACAAACCCCAAGAACUUAAGGGGAUGAGGAUUUUGCAGUUAAUUGGUCAACCUCUUUCUUCUGCUUUUGGUAGAUCUGAGACAUAAUUUUGGACUAAAAUUGACAAUUGGAGUUGAAAAGAUUUUUGACUUUUCCCUUUUCAAUUUCUCUUUUUUUUUUGGUUGGGGGGGUGGUGGUGGGGGUGGGGAGAACAGGGGUUGGUUCUAACUUCAUAUAUUGCCACCAGUGACCUUAUGAAUUAGAAUUACUAGCUCUGUUCCCUGAUAAAUUAAAUGGACAAACAUUGCAGGAGUACCAAAAUUCAUUAACCAGUAUUUCCUGGGGCAGAAAAUCACCUUGUUCAGCAGCAUCAGAAGGUGUUUGUGGUGUUUUCACUGACAACUGGUAUUCAGGGAAAAGGGAAAAAAUGGCAUCAUCAGAUAGAUGUGCAUUAUAUAACAUAGGUUUUCUCACUUCAAAGUAAGAGCCUCAACAUACAUCUAUAUCUGUCAGGGAUGGACCAAGCUUGUCUGCCAGAGCUCCAAGAUGCUCCUUUGCCUCCUGAAAAGUCAGUAUCCUUGAAGUCACUGUAAGUGAAUACCAACACAGAAAGAAGUUUAAAAAAAAAAAAAUUUAAAAAGAAGAAAGGUCAAGAUUGACUUACACCAGGCAUAUGUUCAAGUAUAUUUACAUGACCUGAUCAUUUUUUAUACACCCAGGUUUUACAAAAUCCAAAAUUAAACUACCUGGUACCCGUAUGAGCUUUACAUUUACAAUAAUUUGAAUUUCACAAAGCACUUCACUCAUGUGAUCAGAAAAUUGCUCUCAUCCUCCUCUUAGAAUGGUAUCUUUAGGCAUGCUUAUGGUAACUUCAUCUUGACCGAAAAACCUCUCAAUUAGCGUGAGAUGUGUUCUCAUACAAGGACUUUAAUUUGAUCAAUUGUCUUUUAUUUUUGCUAUUUUUCACAUUCUGUUGUCUGCUUGAAUGAAAAGUACUUCAAUGCGAAUCAGGAUACCCUCUUUUCUUUUCUGAAAAGCGGAAAUAAUCUUUUAAUAUUAAUAAAAUUAUACUUAUAAAAAAUGUUGUGAAUUAUAUUCAUGUCUAGACUUGUUUGAUCCUAUUAAUUGAUACAGGCUCCAACAGUUGUCUUCAUUUUUGUGAUACAGUUAAGUAAGCAAAGAGUGAUUUUGGAAACAAAAGAAUGUAGCUACAAGGGGGUCAUUUCAAUAAAUUAACUAUAGAAAACUACCACAAUAGUAACAGAGGGGCUUCUAGAUAAUAGUUUCAGAAAUUAAAAGGGUGUUCGUGCCACUUUUCGAAACCUCAAGGGUGUAAAUGAUCUUUACAGUACUAAAGAGUGCAGACAAAAAGGAAUGACUUGAAAGAUAAAUAGUUCCGUAGACCAAGUAGAUCUCAGGCUUUGUGUGUGUGUGUGUGUGUGUGUGUGUUGGGGGGGGUGAUCAUCAAGAUUUUAUUCCUCUUACACUGUAUCACAUAAAAAAGUUUAGUAUGUUUAAACUUAUUCCAUUUAUAUUCCGACAGGAAGGAGAGAGGAAAAAAGCUUUGGUUGGUUUUGGAGAUCAUUGAAAAAAGAUUUCAGUUAGAAAACAGGAACUCAAGAUACAUGGAUAGCAACCAUGUACAUGAAGCCACCAUAUCAGAUCCAAGGAAAUGUAACGAUAACACAUGAGUCAGAUAUUCACAUGAGUUGCUGGGAAGUGAAAUGAUGAUGAUAUCAUCAAGUAGCCGCUUUUAGGUUGCUCUCGUACGAAUUUGUUAGAACUUACAACAGCAGUUUUCUGCAUGAACAUAUAUAUAUAUAUAUAUUAAUAUAAUUCAGAAGAAGUUCCAAGUGAAUCAGGAGAUGGUCCGUCCGUAACAGGAUUGGUAAGUAGUAUGAGAAAAACACAAGAAGGUGGCUUAUUGUCAACUACUUUUUCAUCUAAGCUUCAGUCUCCGUCUGCUGAAGGUCCAGACCAAUAAUGUCAGCAACACUUCAUCAUGCAUGUACAGUCAACAUCAUGAGUGUCGCAACAGAAGGGCCGAGCAGAAUUAGCUUGUAAUCAUAUAUAUAUAUAUAUAUAUAUACUAGUUUUUUAGCCCUGACGCUAUGCGUCAGGUAGCUGAGACUCGUUAUUUUGGUGUUAUGUUUGUGUGUGUUUUUUUUUGUUAGAUAUAAUAGUCAUGUGUAUGAGUGUAUUUUUUUCCUAAUUACACAAAUAAAUAUGACUUUGAAAUCAGGUUAUCUUACAUUCUUAAUAUAGUAUUAAUCAGUAAGUAAUGCUUAAUAUUAGGUAGAACUAAAAGGCAUAUGAUUAUACAUGUAAUGUGUAGCCUUGCUUAUUAGUCACGUUACUUCUCUAAGACAAGCAAUUUGACAAUUUCCAUUUUUUUGACACUUUCUAUUUGCUAGUACUUCACAUUUAACAAUCUUUUAUAGAAGAAAGAAAAGAUAAAGAAAGACAAUUAUAAAAUGGGUUUGUCAUUUUCUUUUGUUUGCUAGACUUGAAUGAGCAUUCAAACAUAUUUAAAAAUAUUUUCAAACCAAUGUAAAAUUGAAUUAAUAAUUUUUGUAUAUUCAGUAGUUUUUUUUUUUUUUUUGGAGAUUUUGAUGAUUUUGGUUUUGAUAAUUUGUAUUUAUUGAAUCAUUUUUUUCAUUCUCAAAAGAAAAAAAAUUGGACAUACUGUAACAGUUUAAAAAUUAUAAUCUAUUUCUUAAAUUGCAUUUUUUUUAAAGAAAGUUUAUCCUUUUACCAAAAACAGAAUGAACAGAACCAAGAACAAAAUGAGAGGAAAUUACUGACCGCCAAAAUGUUCCCAUCCAAGAGGCCUACGCGGACAGAAGAGCAGGAGUGAAAGUGGUAAUUAGAAGAGAGCAAGGAAGAGAGAGAGAAGGCAAAGCAAAGAACGUCCACCGAUUCCAAUGAGGCUAACUGCACCCACGUUUCCCCAAGCCACCGAAAAAUCAUCCAACCAACAAACACCCCCAGAGUUCAUGAAAAUUACGGAGUAACCGGACCAUUUGCCCACGCGGACAGGAGUGAAUUUCCAACAAAACCACGCCACCCAUCAGCAAAAGACCAAAACGCCCCUCAAGCUCACACAAAUCACGGCAUAACGGUCCAUCGGUACUGUUCACAAGCUAUUCGUGCUUUAUAUAUGUACUAGUUUUUUCUGCCCUGACGCUAUGCGUCAGAUAGCCUGGACUGUUUUUUUUUUUUUCUGCUGUGGUAUAUUUUUAUUACUUUUGUGUGUGUAUGUGUGUUUUUUUUUUUUGACAUACUUUCAAGAAAAGCGCUGAAGUGCAAGCCCUAGCUCUAUUCAAACACAAGGAAACUGUAAAAAAAAUUGUGAAAAUCCUGCCCAAAAACAACACAAUCGCAAAUUUAAAUUUAAUCACAACCCUACUUAAAGCCAUCUGCAGCAACAACUUCAAAGGAACAAAAUAUAAAUUCUAAUUUAUUUAGACAUUUUUUUCGACAGAAGAGGUAUCCGAUUGAACAGCAAAUGCAUUCUGCAGGCCUUCGCGGAGCUUCUUCCGCAAGCUUUCUUCUUUACGGUUCUUUCGAAUCUCGACCAUGUUGUUUAUUCCCCCCAGCAGCACUCUUCAGCGUCCAACGCCACUUCAGAAAGAUUAGUUCUAAAUUACAUCCCGAGUAGUUUUUCUGGGUUAGGAAAAUUAAAUUUGAAAGUUACGGAAGAUUCGUGGGAACUCUGCAAAAUGCAUUAAAAAAAGUGAGAAUUAGAGUAGAGAAGUUUAUUUUUAUCUUUUACCCUCUGAUUUUUGGGAUUGGCUCAAUAUGCCUAUUUAUCUUUGAACUCCAAUCGGAGCCUUGUGGUUUCCAAUGUCCUAUGCAACUAUAAAUCUCCCUCUAAUGCCAAUGGAAGGAGCUCUCCUCCUUCGUCGCCCACUUCUCCACUUCCUGUAAUGACAUAUUUAGUCAACCCCAACUCAAGAAAAAAUCCAACCAUUCACAUGAAAAUUGAAAUCCCAUGCAAUGAUAAAACCUAGAACACUUAAAAGUAAAAAAAUAAGAAGAAAGAGAGGCAAAACAAUUCAAAAAUGGAAUUACGGAGAUGGGAUUAAUUGGAAAAGGUGAUUACAUUUUUGUUGUGCGUGUAGGAAAAAUUGAGAGGGAAUCUACUGUAGAUUUCUAGAUAAGAUCAUGGAGAAAGAUGUGGUGUAGGGAAAAAUUAAAUAGGAAGAUGAUGAGUGAAAAAAACUGGCAGAGAAGGCCAAGAGAAGAACGAGAAAGGGCAAUGGAGAUUGCAGAGCUUUCAAGCGGUGGUGGUUCCAUUGUACCUCAAAUCACUGCUAAACUUGUUGCCGUCCGAGAACAGCACGUGGGGAAUGUUGAAGAAAGCCAAAAUUGCUUGGACACCUGGUAAAGAAAGCCAAGAAAAAGAAGAGAGGAAACAAGGCCGAAAUUGCCACCGCCAAAAUUGCUCCUAUCCAAUAAUAGCAUGCGGACAGCAGUGAAUUUCCACCAAAACCACUACCAUCCAAUGCCAGAAGACCAAAACACCACUCAAGACUCUAUUCCGACCCAUUGUCAAAACAUUAAUCUACAGCAAACCAUCAAAAUGCGCAAAUAAAGCAAAGAGUGGAGACUUUAGAAGAUCAGCUUGCUCAGAAAAUCAGCUAAGUGAGACAAUGAAGAUUUCACCUUGCAAAACCAAAGAUCACUGGGGACACCAUCCACUGCCUACUCACCAGUGGAGGCAAAGCAACUGCAAUUACACAAGAGAUUAGGAAACCAAACAUACGUGUGAGGCGUAAUAUACAUAAAGCAACAAGUGAAGACUAUUGAAAACUUUGCAAAACCAGAGAUCACUGGGACACCGUCCACUGCCUACUCACCAUCGGAGGCAAAGCAACUGCAAUUACACAAAAGCUUAGGAAACCAAACAUGCGUGUGAGGUGAAAUAUACAUAAAGCAAAGAAUGAAGACUCUAGAAAGCUUUUGCCGCCCAACCGCCCACUAACUUAAUAGUAAUUGCUGACUACCAAAGUGAAGAGCCACGCGGACAGAGCAUUGCUGACUACCAAAAUGAAGAGCCACGCGGACAGAGCAAGGUUACAAUGCAAGAGAGCCAGCGGACAAAAGCAAAAUACCAGCAGAGCCACUGACACCCAUCAGCAAAAGACCAAAACGCCCCUCAAGCUCACACAAAUAACGGCAUAACCGGCCCAUUUUUUACUGUUCACAAGCGGAUUCUCGCUUUAUAUAUGUAAGACUAGAUGUUUUGCCCUGACGCUAUGCGUCAGGUAGGUAUGAAAGAUAGAAGUUGAGAAAGGUGAGGCUGUGGCGGUGGUUUGUACUGGCGUUAGCCAGGUGUUGUUUAUGUGAUUUUGUAGUAUCUGAUUUGUAGUUUGCAUGAGUAGGAUUGCUACUUGUGUUUCAUGCGUUGAUUGUGUCAGGAAAAAUUGCCAAGUUGUGCUGAUUUUCUUUUGUACGUGGCCAGUUUCUUGCUACUAUAUAUAAGGACCUUCGUGUUUUGGGAAUGGUUAUGUGUGAUAUAUUUUUGGUUUGCUAGGUAGUAGUUUGUAUUUUGCAAAGUGUGUGUUUUUUUUCAGUUGGAUGGAGUCGCAGUGUGUUAGUGUUUGCGGAUUGAAUGAUAGAAUUCGAGGAUGGAUUGCUAAGUUAGUUGUCGUGGAAAAAACUUUAUUUCGGCGACCGCGGAAUUCGACUCGAAUGUUUUUUCGAGUUGUUUUUGCUGAUGCUUCUGUAAGGGCUUCUUAGACUUGUUUUUGUAAGUUUUAUUGUGUUUUUGUUUUGUUGAUAUGGAUAAUAGGUAUCUCUUUUUUUCAGGGUGAUACAAUUCAAGGAAUAACAUAUUUAUCUGAUCUGGAUGCUAUGGAUUGUGCAUUGGAGUUGCAUGGGACAUAUUAUAUUGCAAAUGCCACUAUACAGUGUCUACGUAGUUCACGGAUGCAGAUUGGGAUGGUUCCAUAUGAGAUUAUUAUAUCACAUAAUACUGUGAUUAAUCGUGUUUUACCUGAGCAUGCAUUAUCGGUGGAAAAUUUCUAUGAACUGACUCGUUUUUGCGAUUUGGAUUCUUUGAGGGUUAAUCCAAAUGCAAGGAUAAGUAUAACUUUUUUUUGUUUUUUUGGUUGUGGUGUAUUAGUAAGUUUAGGUAUUAUUGGUGUGAUUGCAGGCUAAUUUGUUAUUUUUAUAUGAUAGCUUUGCUUGGUGUAGCUGUUUAUGCUGGUCCGGCAAUAUUUUACGCCAUCGGAAAUAGACAAGUUCAUCUGCAAGAGUUUAUUAUCUUGAAUGAAGAGUAUGUUAUCAGUUUCUGUAUGGUUAGUUAAUAUAGUUAUAAUUAUAUUUUUUUAAUUGUGUUUGUUUAAUUUUAGUGUGUAUAUAAUUUUUGCAGGAGGAUACCAAUAGUGUUUUCAGUAUGGGAUGAUUAUUUUGAGGAUGAUGGCAUGCAUUUAGUUGAACUUAUCAACGAGCGACCAGUUGUUAUGAUUUGUCGUCCACGUAUUAGUCAUCUUCAUGGUAUAUGGGUUUUGAUUUUAGUUUUUAUUAUUUAUUUUAUGGUUGUGUCUAGGAUUUUGUUUAUGUAGAUAUUUUUUGUAUUUUUUUUUAUUCGCAGGUCUUUCUAUUGCAACUCAAGCGACUACCAUUAUUAUGUAUAAUCCUAAUUUGCUCGUGGCUCAGCAGCUAAGCAUUGGUAUGAUACAUUUGUUGGUGAUACUGGCUUUUGAGCAAUGAAAGUGAAGGAUUUUUGGCAUCGCUUGUGGUGAUAUUUCUGUUGGUGUUAUAAUAGCUAGUAUCUAAGAGUGAUUUGUGCAUAGUUUGUAGUUUUGGUGUGGUAUGUUACGGUUGUUAUUUCAUUGAUUGUUAUAAUAGUUGGUAUGUAAUAGUGGUUUGUGAAUAUUGGACGUUUGAUUUUUCCUCUUUUUUUUUUUUUCCUUUGGCUGGUUUGGAGUGGUAUCAUUGAAUCUAAAGUUUGUUUUUUUUAGAAGUAUUUUUUGGUGAAUUAUUUGAUUGUUUUUAGAAGGAUUUUUUAGAUAUCUUCUUGUUAUAUUUUGCUUAAUAUUUAUGUAGCUGUAAUUGAAUUAUGCUGAUGCGGUAUAAUUGUGUAUAAGAAGAAGAAAUCAAACUUUAAGCAAUGUAUAUGUAAGAUAUGUGCGAAUUUGAGUAGGAACAGGAUAAGUAGUUAUAUCUUACAUAUAUUUCAUUUACAAGAGCAACAAGAGCAAGAUAUAUUCAAAAGUGGCCUUGCUAAACUAACUGGCGUUUAUGUACAUUCCGCGCCUUAGGUAUAAAAGUGUCUAAGCAGGGUCUGCAUUAGCCAUUUGCAAUAUUGCUUGAGGUUGAUUAUAGAUAUAAUAUUGAUGGUAGGGCUGAGCAAAAGUGAUAGAAGGUGUGCUGAGUGAGAGAUUUAGAAGGUGCUGAGGUGUUUAUGGCUUUGGGCGUUUGUUGUGGGCUUCUUGAACUGGCUGAAGGGGGUGUUUUUGAUGUUGUUUGUUGCUUGAUUGACGUAAUUUGGUCAUUGAUGGUGGUAUCGAUUGAUGGUUCAUGUGUAGGUUCUUGGAUGUGCUUGGUUCGGUAGAGUCAAUCACAGUUGUGAUCUGAAGGUUACUGUUGUCGGCGGCUAGAUGGGGAAUAGUGUUUGGGGUCGGAGGGAUUGUAAGAUAAGCAACAACAAUGUAUCGUGCAGGCUGAAGUGUUUCUGAUGGUCGAAUGAUAUUUCGUAGUUGGAUGUAGAAUUGGGUAUCUUGGAGGUUGUUAUUGAUUAGCUGGAUGUUGAUUUGUUCAUGUAUCUUUUGCAUGUUUAUGAUUUGAUUUGCUCGGCUGACAUUUGAAGAAUAGACUCUGCAUAUUUGUCUUCAAUUAAUGCUGGUAGAAUACUUGUACCAUCAAAGAGUUGAACUUCAAAACGGAGCCUGCCAUUACAUCAAAUUGUUAAGCAUAAUAUUAGAAUAGGUACAAAAUUAAGUAGUAAUUGAUAAAGCAUAGAAAUUAAAUGCGAACCUUGGUAAUGGUUUUUGGUAAGUGAGAUGGCAGUAAAAGCAUUUGAAUUCUGUAUCAGUAUCAGCUCCUGUUGGUUUUGAACAAUCAGGUUUUGGACAACUUAGGUAGUAAAAACGUGUGUUUGUCACUGAGAUACGAAUCUGAGCCUUUAUCCAAAAGGGCCUGGUCUGUGAUUUCAUACGAUAUAUGUUAGGUAUUGGUAAUUUUAUCUGCAACUGAUUAAUAGCAGUAUGAUUAAGACUUACAUGUUCAGCUGUCAUAGGAAUUGUCGCUAUUUCUUGUAGUUGUGCAGUGGUUGGUGGAUGGAUAAUUUGAUUUGCUUUUUCAUAUAGUCUUUCUUUGAUUAUUGUUUGUAUGUAACAGCUAUUUUCCUUUAUCCUGCAUAAAAGUUGGGUUUAUGAAUCUGGUUGAUAUGAGGAUUAUAUAGUUUAAAUUAAUAGGAUUACCAGUUUCUCAAAGCUGUGGCUUGGGGGAUUUCUGGAUUGAAUAAUAUGAUAGUGGUUGCUUGUGUUCCCAGAGAAAUUGCUGCAAUUGAAUGUAAAUAAGAAUAUAGAUUGUGAAGGUGUGUGAUAAUUUUAUAUAGUUGUAAAUUUGUAUCAGAAAAUAAUAUGCUUACUGUGAUACGAGUUGACUUUUGGUCUAGCCAGUAAGAUGAUAGGUUGCUGAGGUGCCAUUGCUUUUAAUUGCGAUCCUUCGACAGAUAAGAAUUCUUCCCAUAUCGUAAAAGUCAUUGGUCGUUUUCUGCAUGUAUAGAAGUGUAAAUAUUAUGAAUUAGUAACAUAUGGUAGAGAAUAACUUUUAGUUAGAAUUGGCAAGUACUCUUCAUUAACGACAGCAAAUUCUUGGAUCGGCACAUAUCGUUUUCCUCUUGGCACUAAGCGAGGAGGUAGCGCAUGCAGGACAGCACAGAGGAUAUCUGUACAUCAGAGAUCAAUUGUAUUUAGACUACAUGUUUUGUAAAAGGCAGUGUAAGGCAGUGGAUGAAAAUCAUACUUAUUCUUGUUGAGUAAUCGCCAAUGUAAUUAUGUAGCUGUGUAAAGGGUGUUAAUUCAUAGCAAUCAUCAGAGGGCAAUGCAUCAUGUGAUGAAACAGCCUGAAUAAAUGUUCUUUUCGAGAUUGUUAACUGAUAUGGUGAAGAUGCAAGAUAAAAAGGGAUGCUUAUUUUUGUAACCCAAGCAUUUCCAAUGUAGUAGGUGGAAUAAAGCUGAAGAAUUGGCUCGAUAUCUUGAAUGUCUCUUUCGAAAAUAGUUCCUUGGAUGGUGUUUUUCUGCAUUUAAAAAUUGAAGAGAUGUAAUGAGUGAUUUUGUGUAUAAGUGUGUGUGAUAAUAGGUAGAUGAAUAAAAAUUUAUUUGGUUUGAUAUAUCUCACCAUAGCAUCAGCGAACACUAAUUUUUGAUAUGGCCUUCCAUCUUCUUUGCUAUAACGAAUUGCACUUUUUUCUAUCACAAUAAGUUUAGCAAACCAAUUUGAGUUCGUGUCUGUUAACUUUGGUAUCAGAACGCAUUUUCCCUCCAUGUUGAUACUGAAAAAAGAGGGAGCAAAGUAAAAUUAAUUAAUAAGUAAAGUAAAAGUUUCUAUGUAUUAUAUAUGUGAAGGAUUUAGUUUCAGGAGAGCUUGUUUGAAUGCAUUGCAAAAGAAAGCUAGGAAUGAAAUUACCUGGAUAGAUUGGAGAGCAAAGAUUCAGAAGCACAAGAAGAGGUUUGCGAAUCUGUGCAAGCUAAUGAGAUGUGUCUGUUGAGAUGGAAUUGAUUUAUAUAUAAUGAGUAAGGAUAGUGGAAUGAGUGAUAUGUGAUAAUGAGCAUUUGGUCUGGCGCAUUGUUAAUGGGAGACAGUAUCUAAUUGCAUGUGGUUAGAAGCUGCCAGAGAAAGCAUGUAAUGAUUAAAAUGGUGCAUGGCAGAUAGAGAUUACGUGUUACACCUACCAAUGAGUUUUACAUGUGUCAUGCAAUGAAAUUAGAAACGAUUGCUGCAUAUUGUGAAGGACAUCUGGAUAUGGCUUUCAUGAUACAGGUAGCAAUAUAGAAGGUACAGGUGUUUAAGUCGGGUGUUGUUGAAGGCUCUAAGCUGGUAAACUCAUUGGAGGUUAGCAAAAUAAAAUUCCUUUGGAUCUGUUAUAAUCUCUUUAUUUCUUAGAUGUAUUUCAAAGCUAGCAAUAAUUUCUGGUCUCUAAAUAAUCAUGACAGCUUGCAUUUGAAUGAGCACUUCUAACCUGUGGGAAUGUCAUACAUUUUAAGGCAUUGGCUGGUGGGACUUUGUGGCUGGAUUUAGUCGCAAGCAAGAUUGCAGCAGAGUAGUGGAUUACUGUUGGAUCUGCUAUAGGAAACAUUACUUGCAGGUCUUUCUUUUAUUCUCCAUUUUGUUUUGAGCAAGUCGUUGGAUGAUAGAUUCCUUUUCUCUCCUUUUUCAUUUUGUUUAGACUUGUAUCCUCAAUGUUGUUUGUUCUUGCAGCAAUUCGGUGAAUAUCUACAUGGGAAUUGGUAUUCCGUGGCUCAUUGAUACAAUAUAUGACUUCAUCGCAUACAAUGAAUUGUUGCGCAUACACAAUGCUGAAGGUACCUGGGGAGAGGAAAUGAAGAGAGAGGCAGCAGCUAGGAGCUGGGAGAUAGUAUCUGGGAGUGGGAGGUCUAAUUCUGAGGGGGGUUUUGACUUUAUAUUUUUUAUUCUAAUCAAAAUUGGCGAACAGAAUUUAUAAGAAAAUAGAGAAGGUGCUUUUUUAUUUUCCUUUCGACUCUAUUUUUUUCCUCCCCUAAGUAGUUUAUCCAUAUUCAUUUCCUAGUAUAGGGUAUAUAGGGUAGUGAAUGAGAGUUUCUUACCAUGUUCUUAAUUUCCUUAGACUCGUAUCUUCUGUGGUGCGUUGCUAGAGGUGUAAAGGGUGUCAGCUGGCUAUUUAUGCGAGAGAAUCAUUUGUUUUCAAUUUGGACAUCGUUUGGUUACUGCAACUGUUGCUUUAUGUAAUAGCAGCUUUCUUUAACCUUUUUUUUUUUUGAAUUUGUUGUGAUUUGUAAAAGAAUGUCAAGCACCACCUUUGCCAUUGUAGAUCCAGGACUUGCCAUUGAAUCCAAGAUUUUCGUUCCAAUGCUCUAAUUGGUCUUUUGACUUAAAUGAGACUCAGAAAAAACAUGUUAAUUGCAUAUUCCAGUUGAAUCUGGAAUUUUGACAAAGAUGUGUAACUUAUAUUUAAUCAUAAACUUUUUGUUGUAAUCAUGAUUUCUUAAGAAGGAUUUCAUGAUUUUUCGUCAAUAAAAAAAGCGAUAAGGUGUCACUUGAUUAUAAUAAUGACUGAUGCAGUAGUUCAAAACCUUUUAUGCAGGAAAGUCUUUAGAACCAGAAAGCUCUAAGCAAGGCAAGUAGUUAAGGAGAAAUGAAAGAUGUACGGCUAAUAUUUUCCUAAUAAAGAUGAAAACAUUAUACAGGGAGAACUGGACCGCAAAUACUUGAUUCAUAAGCUGGAGAAUAAACUUACGAAUUUCUAAAAUGAAAACCCUUAUACUUAGUGAAAAUGGCACUUGACAACAAAAGGAUAAAGUGCGACACCAAAACCAAAUGCUCUGUAGAAACAGAAUCAGCCACAAAAAUCAUAUAGCUAUAAACAUAACCUUCCUAUGGCAGUAUAUGUCUAAUGAAUCUUCAAUAUGGUUCAGCUUCAAACAGCAGCAUUUGUACAAGCUGUCGCUGCAGCAGCUAAUGCUGCCCUGCUUCGACUAUUCCAGAUAUGUCGUGGUACGGUAUUAUUUGGACUUCAUAACUUGAUGAAAGCAAAACAAGAUCAGCAGGAAAGAAUUCAUCCUUCUUCACUUUCAUUACAUCUCCAAUUUUCAAAUCGAUGCACUUGAUGUAUUGGAAACUUCUAUGAUUGCUGUAUACUUUAACUAACCUGUUGUUUAUUUCAAUAUCCUGGUAUUAUUCCCAAAUCUUUAUUAUAUACUGGGUGAAAAAGAAAACACGAAAUACAGAUUAAACAAAUCAAAACCAAUUGCAGAUCAGCAAUCUUUAAGCAAUUUAACAACAGAAGAAGGCAGCAAUGGAAAGUUCAAGACUUGCAAAAGGACGAGACAAAUGUGGACAUAAAAACUUUGGAAGUGAUAAAAUUGGGCAAAGAACAUGAGAAAGAAGUGUAUAGGAUGACGAAGUAGGAGCUUUUCUUCCUCCUGAAAGGAAAAUGAGAAUAAGGGAAAGAGGAAAACGAAAAGGGAAGCCAAAGUUUUCUGUGCAUCAUCGUUUUAGAAUUAUUCUAAAAUGUUGUAUCUGGAGAAGCAUUAGCAGAACAGUGCAGUAAUUGAUUACCUACAACAUGUACCUUCUUUUUGAAACAUCAAUGCCACAUUUCGGAACAAAAAUCUUGACUGAUUUGUCAGAGUAACACCUAUGAACUCAGGUAGACCAGCUACAAGAUCAAUGAUGCAUGAUAGUUAGGCUUAUUAAAUUCCCCUUGCAUUAAAAUUCUAGAAAUUAAUUGCAAAAUAUGGUCCAAAACCAUAUAAAAACUACUGGAAAAUUUACUGCAAUUUGACAGAAAAUACUGGGAUUAUUGAUAAGCUACAAUACUUCAAUGUACUCAGAAGGGGCAUUUGAGCUGAGCUCCUGGACACAAAUCCGAUGGUUAUUGAUAAUCUAAGAUCAGAAAUGUCACUUACUUCUGAAUCUCCUCCAUCUUUAUCUUCAGCUUUUCACGCUCAGCUUCAGUAUUAAUGCUCCCUCGAAGUUCCAGGUAGACAGAUACCACUUCGUUUACAACAGAUACUGCACAUCCAGCUGGAGAGACGUCAUUCUCACCUAAAACCUGCACAUUUUGAUCUUUUUAAGGUCACAAGGAUAAGAGAUUGGAAAAGGAUUAAAAAUGCCACAAAAGUAGGGCAAAAGAAGAGGAUCAUUGCAAAAAACUAAUGUUGAAAAGCCUAGCCCUCCAAUUAUAGAAUACUCUAAAGAUUCUUGCCUGGAUAUAUUACUGAUUCUACUGAAACUUUGCUUUUUUCUUUUGACAGCAGUCAUCUUCAGCAACUGUGAGCUUGUUAUGCCAAAUUCAGAAUAUAACUCUAAUAGAGUGAUCAAAUUUUCACUUUUCAGUAGUGAAUAUGCUAUCUUGCAGAAAUAUUGAAGUUUCCUGAUGAAAAUAGACAAAUGGCAACAGAUAAAAGUACGAAUUAGAUUCCAAGAAAGUCAGUUUCUUGGAAGGAAUAGAGAAGCAAAUGGUAAUUCUUGCAGUGUCUGUAAUCAUCAUAGAGAAGGAAUUGUUCUGCAAAAAAUAAUUGCAUUUGAAAUGUUAAAUUUUAGGACAAUAUCAAAAUGCUAUAAAUCAAGUAGGAAAUGAAGAAGUGAUAAAUCCUACACCUUGAUACAGAUUUUUUCAGCUCAUGAAACAUGGAACGGGGAAAAAGGCAAUCCAUGGCAAAUUGUAUUAUAAUUAACAGGACCUGAAGCUAGUAUGGAUAACUUAUUGUUGAUCGAGGAUGACAAAUGUAUUGCACUUGCAGAGGAGUAUGUGUACCUUGCUAAUUUUGCUUACUUAGGAGGGAUAGGCUUGGCAGUAUUGACACUGAUUUUGCCUUUACUUCUAGGAUCAACAACAAUUACAACUUUUUCUUCAUCUUCUAUUCCAGCCAGUUGAUGAAACCUGACUUUGUUCUUGACCAGUCCUUUCUCUGUUAAGAAGUAGAAGAAAGCUCAUGUUUCUUGAUUGUAGACCUUGAGCUGAACAUUUUGUUUUUCCUUCUUCUUUCUUGGAAUGUACACUUUUUGCUGCACUCGUGCCAUCAAACAUAUUAACUAAUAAUGAUAUGAUCAGGCUAUUGGUUGCCGAUGGAUGAUGCUUCAUGAAAAUAGCAGACUUGUUCAUUUGUGAAACAAAUUUGGCAUUACCUACUUUCACAAAGAAAGCAGUAAGGAAGUAUAAACAAAAUAAAUUUGAAAUGGAAAUUAGGAUAAAGAGUUAGAUAACAUACCUUAAUCUGUAUCAAUAUGAAUUGCUAGCAUAUAUUCAUUAAUCAUUCAUGAUUGCAGAUAAGACCUCUUUGUAGACUAUAUUUUUUGUAAGAUUUGUUACUUUGGAAAACAGAUUUGGAGGUCGUAUUAAUACUUUAACAUUACUUGAUGUCCUGCCACGUGAUAAUGCAACAUAUAAUUGGCCAUGGGAGAAAACAGGCUCUUUUAGAUAUAGACCGACAUAAUCCAAUGUUUGUCCUUGUGCUUUAUUAAUCGUCAUUGCAAAACAUAAUCUCAGAGGAAAUUGUGUUCUUUUGAAAGGAACUGAGCAGAAAUCAUCAUCAGAAGUUUGCAAAGGAAUUCGAGGAAUAAAGACAUGUUUACCUUUAAGAGAACCGCAUGCAAUCUCUGCAUGUAUUACAUUGUUUCCAAAUUCUUUGCAUAUCAAUCGGGUGCCAUUAGAUAGGCCUUCAGUAGGGUUGAUGUUUCGAAUCAACAUAACAGGACAAUUAAUCUUUAAUGUUAGCCUAUGAAGAGGUAAACCUUUGGGCAUUAGUGAAUUCAAAAAAUCUUGUGUCUCUGAUUGAUGAGAUGAAUCAAGGACUUCAUCAUAGCUUAAAUAUACCUGUUCUGUACCUGGAAAUUUAGCAAUGACUUUGUUAUUAAUUUCAAAUACAAAAUCAUUUCUCGUCAUUAAAAUUGCAUGGUUAACAAUAGAAUCCGGGCAAUGAGCAAAAGCAUUUAAAUCUGGAAAUACCGCGGUGAUCAAGGCAUCAACUGAUGAAUCAUCAUUGAGAAAUACCAAAUUCAUUCGUUCAGGUACACAGACUUCGUCAUUCUGGUUUGUUGCUUCGAUACCAUUACCAAUUCGAAGAAGGUAUUUAGAGAAAUCCGGAUCUAGCUGAGCUCGCAUGUUCUGGGAUAGUUUCAAUUUUAUCAGGUACGGCCAAAUAGGAGAUGUUAUUAAGCUAGCAUUGACGAUUUCUUCUUUACACCCUUUGGUCACCACUGGUAGUGUUUGUCGAAAGUCUCCACCAAAAACAAUGAUCUUGCCACCAAAUAUAGCAUCUUUAUUCAUGAUAUCUUUUAAUGAAUCAUCAAAUUUUUCUAUCGAACUGCGUUUUGCCAUGCUUGCUUCAUCCCAAAUAAUUACUUUUGCAUCUCUUAUUAAUUUAGCAAUAGCACUUUGCUUCCCAAUAUUGCAAGUUGCUGUAUCAUUAUCUUGUAAUGGAAUUUUGAACCUUGAAUGUGCUGUACGCCCACCAGGUAAAAUUGAAGCUGCAAUUCCAGAUGUUGCAGUUGCUAAUGCUAUGCCUCCUUUCGAUCGUAUUGCUGCAAGUAGAGCCCUGUAUAAAAAAGUUUUUCCAGUUCCACCUGGCCCAUCUAAAAAGAAUGCACAUGAGAUGUUAUUAUCAAUAGCAUGCAUAAUCUUCUCAAAUGCUAAUUUCUGGUCUGAGUUUAAUUGCUCCAAUGCACCAAGAUCUUCAUUAGAUACAACUAUGCUUUUUUCAACAUCAACUUCCUUACUGUUUAGGUCCUGCGACAAUUGUUCAAGCUGAAUGUCAGUUAAAUUGUAUUCAGCAAUGUUUUUUCCCAUAGACCGAAGACUUGAAUCAAUCAGUUGAAGCACUUGUAUUUGCACAGAAUGUGGUCGGACUGAUGUAUUAUGUCGAAUAUCUUCAGAUAAGAAAUCUUCAUAUUUCAACCACAACUCUCGUGGGUUUUUAGGAGUACAAUAAGCCAGUAUAGAUGCAAAGAGUUGUCUAAGAGAACUUGGCAUUUGGUAUGCAGAGGCCUCCUGUAAGCAAAGUUCAGCAGCAUUGUCGGAAUGUAACAGUCCAAGUAAAUUUGCAGCUUCUUUAUAUGUUUGGCAUGCAUAUCCAUUGACAACUUUUAAAUGUUGGAAAGAAGUAGGUUUUCUAACAUGCAUUAACAACAUUCUUAAAUAAUAACGCUCCCCUCAGUAGGAUGAGCAGUUAAAAUACGACCUAUAACUUCUUUUUUUUUUCGUCUAGUCCAAUAUUUUGAUUGUGCAUUCCAAGUAAAAUGCUCAGGAAACUCUAUAUAUAGACAAUUCAAAUGCUUGGCAUGUUCAUCAUAACAAUUCAUGCUAAAAAACUCUGUAAGCAUUGUUUGUGAGGAACGUGGGUUAUUGAUUAUAUUUUGCAAUGAUUGGUUUUCAUCAAAUGUAACUGAUUGUUUAUUCUCCAAAUGAAGUUGCAAAGGAAUUACCGAUGGAUGUAUUUCAUUUAAGUCAAAUGCAUAGAUUCUCCCAUAGUUAUUAAACCCGGCCCGGCCCGGCGGUCGAACCGUUCGAACCGGUGACCCGGUCAUCAAACCGGGCCGGGUUACUAGUUAGAUCGGAAUUGCAAAGAACCCGUCUAGACUCGUUCGACUCGGACGGUUGAACCAUGGAACCGCUAGAACCGGCGGUUAUUGAUAAAUCCGGUGGGUUUUGGCAAUUUUUUUGAAGUUACCAUUUUACCCAAUUCUUUAUUUUGACCAUUCACAGUACAUGGGCAUUAUCAUCUUUUCGCUACAUUUUUAGCCAAUUAGAAGAGAAAAUCAGAAAAAUUGAAAGGGAUUCGGGCAUUUGGGCAUUCGGCCGUCAUUGGGGAUUUAGGCAUUUAGGGAUUCUUUUCUUCUUUGUUUCUCUUGAGAAGUGAGAACGAAUUGAGAUUUGAGAACUUCUUGAGCAUUUAAGGAUUCGGCAAGCAAUGUUCCAAUUUUUCGGCUUUCAAUUUUUCAGGGCUACGGCUUUCAAUUUUUCUUUCCUUUGCUUUGCUAAUUGCUCUAGCCUCUGAGAGUGAAGUUCGAACUUGCCGCAGCCGCUGCUAGAAUUCUUCUAGGAAGCGCCGCUGCCACCGAAGCUGCCAUUGAAGGGUGAAGCUUUGUUGCCGGUUGCAACUGGACACACACCACGGCACCUUGGAAGUUCGAAGUUGCCGCAGCCGCUGCCGCCUGCCAGAAUUCUUCCAGGAAGCGCCGCUGCGACCGAAGCUGCCAUUGAAGGGUGAAGCUUUGUUGCCGGUUGCAGCUGGACACACACCACGGCACCUUGGAAGUUCGAAGUUGCCGCAGCCGCUGCCGCCUGUCAGAAUUCUUCUAGGAAGCUGCCGCUGCCACCGAAGCUGCCAUUGAAGGCUGAAGCUUUGUUGCCGGUUGCAGCUGGACACAGACGGACAGACCACAGCACCAGUGAAGCCUUGAAGGUAAGUAAAACGGAAAUUUAACUGAUGACAUGCUUCAAGAAAGUGGAAAUUUAACCUUUGACAUUUUAAUUACGUCUGUUGCCGAAGGCCACGAACCCAUUCUGUUAAAAAAAAGAGGUUGAGCCAUAUUUCACCUUGCAAAUACCUCAAGCCCAAGUUUAACAGCUAAUUCGAGAGUAUUUGAAGCUAAGUAUUCAAGAAUAUCCCUAAUCCAUAAAAAAAAAAUUAAAUCUCAGCUAUUCCUCAAUAUUGGCUCAGCUGAAUUGCAAAAUGUACCACCAAAAAAAAAUGACAGAUAACUGAUGCGACAUAGAUUCUUGCAUUAGCAUGUGACUAUAUUUUAUUUGAGUACAUACAUCGAAUUUCUGCUCUAAAUUAAACCAUGCCAAAUAAUCUGAAUUGAGUUUUGUUUCAACGUUGAUUUAGAUCAAUUGCAUGUGAAUUGGUCUUGCCAAAAAUAAUUAGGAUACGUGAACAUUAGCUAUUCGAUAGAUUAUGUUUAAUAUUAUCCAACAAAAAAUUUAAAAAGAAAGGCAUUGGGAAAGGUUGUGUAACUUGUGUUACAAAAUAAAAUCUAUAUAAGUUUUUUUUAAUUAUUAGUCUUGCACAAUUAAAUUAGUCGAGACACCUUGAAUUACCAAAAAAUUUUAUGAUAUUAAUGGCUAAUAUGCAGCUCGGGGCAAAUAUUUUUUGAUUGCAUAUACAAAGGACAUUCACUUCUUAUAAUAUUUGUAGUAAUAACUCAUAGUACCUUCUUUUCUCUUUUCCUUUUUCAUCUUCUUCUAUAUGUAGUAAGGGAAUGCCAUAUAUAAUUUAGUAGUUUUUCUUUCCAAAAAAAAAAGUGAUAUGGAGAAAUCAAUAUACAAGAUACAAUAAACAAAGGUUGUUUAAUUCUUCUUGUGAUUCCUCCCAUAGCUUGAAUCUUGAUACCAUAUUUCAUUUCAUUCCCCAAACAUCAAAAUCAUGAAUAGUGAUAUGGAUCCAUCUCAAUCGAACUUUCAAGGGAUAAUGACAGUAAGGCAUUUAGCUUUCCAUUAUGUUUGCAUUUAAGUUUCACUUUUUCGUUUCAAUUAAGGCAUAUAUAAAUGUCAUUUUCCUAGCUAUAAAUGUUAUUUUUUUAAAUAAAAGAUAUGUUUUAUUACUUUUCAGAUAGCUUGUAAUGGACUCUAUUGGAGAAACACCGUCUCAAACACCAAGUACAGAACCAACACCUAGUACAUCAAAUUCUCAAAAUCAACCUCUAACAAGGGGAAAGACAGACCCUGCAUGGUCUCAUUGUAGAGAAGAUUCUGUGUCCAACAAAAAAGUUAAGUGCUUGGUAUGUAUUCAUUGUGGAAAAAGAAUUCGAGGAGGUGGUAUCAAUCGAUUCAAACAGCACCUUGCAGGCUUAAAAGGGGAGACAACACCUUGUCUGAAGGUUGAUGAACAGAUUAGAUUUGAAAUGCUAGAAAACUUGAAAGCUGUGGAAAGCAAGAAAAGAAGCUUGAAAGAACGCUCAAGGGGAAGUGAUUUAUAUGGUCAAGAUCUAAGACAACAUGAAGAGGAGGUAUACAUGCAAGAUGUAGAAGAUAUUCAAGAGAUUCAACCACCUCCCACUAGUGAAGUUUCAAAAGGAAAAAAAGUUCUUCAACAACACAAAAAAGGAAAAACAAUAGGGACUUUUUUUAUGCCAAGAGCUACUCCAGGAGGUCAACCAUCCAUCAAAAGUGUGAUGCAAAGCAAAGAAACUAAAGAGAAGGUUGACUUGGCAGUUGCGAAGUGGAUGAUUGAUGCUUCCAUUCCCUUCAAUGCAGCAAACUCUGCAUAUUAUCAAACAAUGUUUGAUGCUGCUUGUUCUUUUGGGGCUGGUUACAAAGCGCCUAAUUUCUAUGACUUGCGUGGCUAUUUAUUGACAAAAAAUGUUGAGCAAGUUAAGAAUUUUGUUAAUAGCUUUCGUACAAGUUGGAAAGAAACUGGAUGUACUAUUAUGGCUGAUGGAUGGACUGACCAACAAAGGAGAACUCUCAUCAACUUUCUAGCUUAUUGUCCUAGAGGAACUAUUUUUCUGAAAUCAGUUGAUGCCUCGGAUGCUUCUAAGACUGCAGAGAUGUUGUAUAAGUUGUUUAGAGAAGUGGUUUUAUUUGUUGGGGUGGAAAAUGUGGUACACUUCGUCACUGACAAUGCUGCCAAUUAUGUUGCUGCAGGAAGAUUAUUAGAAAGGGAAUUUCCAACACUUUAUUGGUCUCCAUGUGCUGCUCAUUGUCUAAAUUUGAUGCUACAUGAUAUGGGCAAGUUAGAUGAGGUUAGUAAAGUGGUUGGACAUGCUUCAAAAAUAACAAAAUACAUUUAUAAUCAUUGUUAUCCAUUGCAUUUGAUGAGAAAACACACUGGUGGAAAAGAAAUUAUUCGGCCUGCUCCUACACGUUUUGCUACUAAUUUCAUUGCAUUGCAAAGUAUUUUAGUGCAAAAAGAUGCUUUAAGAGCUAUGGUGACUUCAAAAGAAUGGACUCUUUCAGCAUAUGCUAAGGAGAGUAAAGCAAAAAAAUUUGUGGAUCUUGUGCUAGAUUCUAUAUUCUGGAAAGAAUGUGCUAUAAUAGUUCAAUUAACUGAGCCUCUUGUUCGAGUUCUAAGAAUUGUUGAUAGUGAUGAAAGGCCUGCUAUGGAUACUUGUAUGCUGCCAUGCAUAGAGCCAGAGAAGAGCUUUUGAGAAGAUUCACAAGAAAAAAAAAACAGUUGAUCCUUAUUUAAGAAUAAUUGAUUCAAGAUGGGAUAGUCAGCUUCACAAAAAUCUUCAUGCUGCCGGUUAUUGGCUCAAUCCUGCUUAUCAAUAUAAUUCUCUUGAUUUGGAAAAGCACAGGCAUGCAACAUCAGGACUUUUGGAUGUGAUUGAGAGAUAUUCUUAUGCAAAUCCUGAUUUGAUGAGUAAUUUGACCGGAGAGAUGAGAUUAUUUCGUAAAGCUGAAGGUGAUUUUGGUAGAGUCUCUGCUAUACGAGAUCGUGAUGUCAUGCUUCCAGGUACCCAAAAAUUAACUUCAUUUUUAUUGAUGAUUUGAUUUUAAUUGUAAAAUAUUAUAUUCUGACUUUUUUCCUUUAUUUAUUGCAAUAGAUGAAUGGUGGACAUGUUAUGGUAGCACUGCACCUAAUUUGCAAAAACUAGCUAUACGUGUUCUAAGCCAAACUUGCAGUGCUUCUGGCUGUGAAAGGAAUUGGAGUUUAUUUGAGCAUAUCCACUCAAAGAAGAGAAAUAGAUUGGAGCAUCAAAGACUAAAUGAUUUGGUUUAUGUACACUACAAUUUAAGACUACAACAAAGGUAAACUACAUUUUGCAAUCUGAUUUUUGUUUUAAUAUGACGACAUUUGUUAUUUAACUAGUUUUAAUGUUUUGUAUUAUUAGAAAUGCAAGGGGUAGAAAUUAUGAUCCUAUUGAUUUUGAGGACUUCAGCGCCAAUGAAACUUGGAUUUUGGAUGAUGAACCUUCACAAUUAACUCCAGUUGAAUUAGAAAGCUUUAGGAAUGAAAUAGCUACAUUUGCUAUCAGCCGACAAAGUGGUGAGUUAUUCUAUUUGAGCCAUAUGCUUGCUUAUUCUUUGUUAGUUUGUUUUUCGUUUUUGGCUAAAUAUUAUCUAAAUUUAGAGAAUAAUUCAUUGAUUUUUGUACUUAUGUAGAUGAAACUCUAAAUUUGGAUGAUUUGGACACUGGAGAUGAAGAUGAGACCAAUAAUGAAGAGAAUGUUGAAAGAAAUGAUCUUAAUGUGGGCUGUGAUGUAAAUGAAUUUGGUGGUACUGAAUUUGGCAGAAGUUGGGAACCAUGGCAUGAAUAAUAGAUGGAGUGAACUACUCAAGUGAUAAUUGUGGUGUUGUUUAUGUUCAUGACUUUAUGUUUGGUUGUAUUGAAUUGGUCGUUUAUGACUUAUGUUUCAUGGUUUGAUACUUAUAUUUAUCAUUUAUAUUUGUGUGUAAUUUACUGAUUUUAGUUUGAAUUCAUGAAUUGUUGAUCACAUAUGGUUAUGGAUUAUGUGUGUGAAAUGAAUUAUGAACUAUGAACUAUGAACAGGUUAUAACUUGUUGGGAUUUAAGAAUUUCUGUAAUUAUAUUAUAAUUUACAUGUUUAUUUAAUUAUAUUAUAUAUUUUUUUAUUAUAUAUUGUGACCCAACGGUUCAACCAGUGAUCCACCGGUUGAACCACUGACCCGUCAACACCCGGUCCUCUUGCCGGUUGAUGUCCGGUUGGUUUUAAUAACUAUGGAUUCUCCACAUUGCUUCAGGAGGAGAGACCCAUCUUGCCACAAACAAAAUUUUUUAUUUCGUCAACAAUUUCAAUAGGCCCAGUAUUACUCACCUGAUAUAAAAUUUUAUCAUGGCCUUUAUAGAUAUAUUUAUAUAUAUAUUUGACAGCCUGAAUUGUUGAACAAUUUCUACAUUGAUAUGGCAAUUAAAUUUAGAGAGUAAAUAGCGGAUUGUAUGGUAUUACCCAUCGAUUAUCAAGAGGAUGGCCCACGAACAAUUAUUGAUUGCUGAAAAUCUCGUCGUCGAUAGAGAGGGUAGGAGUUGUGGCUGUGCCGUGUGAUUUCUGUAAACUCCUUAGGAUAGUUAUCCUUGCAUCCAAGAUGUUGUUUCAUGCAUGGGCAUUUUGGAUUCAUAGCACCACAAGGACCGUGCAUCAUGUGCUUAACAACGAGUUCAUGAAGAUAAGGAUGGCGGCUAGCAUCUGGCAGCUCAGCACAUACUACACGAUCAUAUGAUUCAGGAGAGUACAUCUUCCAUCCUUGUUUCAGAAUUAUUAAGAAAUGAGCGUGGGGCAAACCUCUUUUCUGGAAUUCGAUUACAUAUGUGUAAGCUGCUAUUUUUCCAAAUAUAUUCUUCUUCAGAAGUUCAUCUUUCAAGACUUCAAGUUUUGCACGGAAGACUCGAGAAAUUAGAUCUGGCCUGUUCUCAACUUUAUCAGUUGGCAGAAGCAAUUUUUUAAUCUCAGGCCAAUUCUUGUUACAAGUCAUUGUCAGAAAGAUGUCUGGUUUCCCAUAUCUUUGAACCAAAGACAUAGCAUCCAUAUAUCGGCGUCGCAUAUCUCGAGGCCCACCAAUGAAUGAAGCUGGAAGGAAAAUACGUUUACCAAUACCUGAUGAUGAUGAUUCACCAUUGGAAAUGCUAUCGACUAUGCCUUGAUAAAAUCUCAGUUCGAAGUUGAGCCUGUUUGUUCCUCCCUCUAUGGAAAUCUAAUCUAAUUGACUCAAUCUUAACAUACAUAUCGACCACGUAUUGUUGCAGUAAUCUGCCUAUAUGCAAUAACAUUGACUGAUCAGCAUCUCGAAUUUGCAGUUUGUAACAAUAGUACUCACGACAUGAAACCGUGUUCCGUUUUCUUUUUUUUUGGUUAAUAGCUGAAACAAACAAAUAAUGAUAUUUAUGUUAUUUAUCGAUAAAGAAAGAUAAUAGACGAUGCUAUAUGGAGAUGAUUAUUGGUAAUACCUCUAUUUUCCGCAUCAAUGAUAUCAUUUGCCGUUGUUGCUGUAGCUGUAGCUAUAACAGUUUGUCCCUCACAAGUAACUGGUCUAAUAUUGCCUCUAUCCGGACGGCGCAUUCUCUCAAUCCCUGGAUGCCAACCUGGUUCUCCAUUUGCAAAGAUAAGAGGAUAUUGCAAUGAAUCAUGACAAGCAAAGUAAUGCUUAACAAUUUGCGUUUGACCAUUCUUUCCAUAAAUUUGUAUAUGUUUAGAGUUAAGAUGUUCAAAAUCUGAACUAUCAGUCCAAACAGCUCCUACUUGUGACACAGUAGGUUUAUUGAAAACUCGUUGAUCUAUAGCAGGCGUAGUUUCAAGCACAAUCUUAUAAUCAUCCAUGUCUGGCAAAUCUUGUAAUCCUCGAAAGAAUGCAGAGUAAGGAUUGAUCUUUAAAAUUUCCUCAAGCUUUGUCACCAGUGUUUCUUGAAAUCUAGCUGAAAUUGAAAGCCGCUGCGUUGUUUCAUGCUCAGUGUCAAAAAAAUAAAGCUGCAAGUUUCGUGGCUUCUCACCAUCCUCUGGAAUAAGCGCAUUAAUAUAAUGAUACAUUUGUCCUUGGAUUCGAAAUGUAUAAAUUCCAUUAUAAUUUGCAGCCAAAGAUUUGUCAGAAUGAAUACCAAUCGAGGUAAAUGCAAACAUAUUAUUAUAGCUUCUAACGCAUCUGCGAAACUCGACAGCAUGAUCAGAAUCUUCAAUAUAUAAUAACAUAAGCUCUCCGGCAUCUCAGUAGAUAAUAGCUGUAUCUCACCAGAGGAACAGCAAAAACCAGGCGGUUCGUGAUGAAAUCGUUUUGCAUGACAGUACGGACAAUUUGGAACAUCAGGCAAUACUGUGGGCUCAAUAGCUAUCGUGGCUAACGGAUCAGUAACAGAGCGUCUUACAGAUCGACGUUUUCUACGUAAUGGUGAUUGACCAAUACCUAUAUUAGUUGAUGAAACCUCGUUAGCACUAUCAACAAUAGAGCUAGAUACAUUUUGUUCAUUUUCCUGCAAUACAACGACAGCAUAGUUAAAGAUUGGGAGUUUAACACGCUUAAAUAAGUCAAUCUGAUCUGUAAUAGAUAAAAGCUAACAUCUCAUACCAUUGGAAAUUGCUCUGCAUUAUUCUGUGUAGAUGGCAGCACUGGGUCUGAGCCUAAUGAAGAUUCUGCAGCACUCAUAUUUGGCUGAUUAAUAGUAUUUGGUUCACGUAUAUUAAAAGCUGUGACAGCCAGCGUACACACUCCUGAUGGCACAUCAUUUUUUCUCCUUUGGCGAGCAGCAGCACGUUGGUCGCGUCUCUUUCGAUUUUUCUCAGCAUUAGCCUCUUCUAAACUUUUAUAUAUUCUAUUCCGACCCAUUGUCCAAACAUUAAUCUACAGAAACCAUCAGAAAAUCAGCUAAGUGAGACAAUAAAGAUUUUACCUUGCAAAACCACAAAUCAUUGAGGACACCGUCUACUGCCUACUCACCAGUGGAGGCAAAGCAAUCGCAAUUACACAAGAGAUUGGGAAACCAAUUUCACCUUGCAAAACCACAGAUCACUGGGGAGCCAAAGCAACUGUAAUUACACAAGAGAUUGGGAAACCAAACAUACACGUGAGAUGAAAUCUUACAUAUAAAAGCGUCAAUAGGAAACUUUAGAAAACUUUCCACGGCAUUUCUUAAGCUGCUAAACAAAACUAAGAAGAAGAACAGAACCUAAGAAGAAGAAAAAAAGCUAGGAGAAAAGAAAGGAUAUAGCUGACCGACCAACCGCCCACUAACUAAUAGUAAUUGCUGACUAUCAAAAUGGAGAGCCACAUGGACAAAGCAAAGCUACAAUUGAGGAGAGUCAGCAGACAAAAGCAAAAUGCCAGCAAAGCUACAAUGCAAGAGAGCCAACAGACAAAAGCAAAAUGCACUGCCACCCAUCAGCAAAAGACCAAACCAACCGCCCACUAACUAAUAGUAAUUGCUGACUAUCAAAAUGGAGAGCCACGCGGACAAAGCAAAGCUACAAUUGAGGAGAGUCAGCAGACAAAAGCAAAAUGCCCAGCAAAGCUACAAUGCAAGAGAGCCAGCGGAUAAAAGCAUUGCCACUAAAUGGGAAAAGACCAAAGAACCCCUCAAAGUCACAAAAAUAAGGCGUAAUAUACAUAAAGCAACAAGUGAAGACUAUUGAAAACUUUGCAAAACCAGAGAUCACUGGAGACACCGUCCACUGCCUACUCACCAUCGGAGGCAAAGCAACUGCAAUUACACAAAAGCUUAGGAAACCAAACAUGCGUGUGAGGUGAAAUAUACAUAAAGCAAAGAAUGAAGACUCUAGAAAGCUUUUGCCGCCCAACCGCCCACUAACUUAAUAGUAAU
rnacentral:lncRNA from 1 species